rnacentral:lncRNA from 1 species
GGGACUGAAGGAAUGCUUGGCAGAGGGGGCAGUCCUGUUCGCAAUGUGGUAGGAAGUGGAGGAAACGCCCCAGGCCAUAGGAAUGAUGGCCGGGAUGGCGUUGGGAGAUUAAGGAAAGAUGGCAAACUUUGUGUUUGAGGCUGCUACAGAAGGUGACGAGCUGCUACCCCAACAUUGUUAGGAUCGAUCCGAUUAAGCAACAAGUAACAAAAAAUAGCAGAAUAAAUUGAGAAAUUGAACACGCAAAUUUAACGUGGAAAAACCCCUCCAAAGAGGAUAAAAAACCACGAGCAAAGGUAAUUUUACUAUAAUGGCCAAAGAACGAAGAGUACAAAAGAUGGAGACAAAAAACUAAACCCCGAGAAACCCGAAAACAAGGAACCCUCAAAACAUAAAAACAAAAUUCUCUAAAUGUGUUAUGAGUUCUAAUCUCUAAUGGGUGUAUUUUCUAAGGUUGUAAAAGAACCUAUUUAUAGGCUAAAUUAGUAAGUCAAAUAAACUAUGCUAAUAAAUGCUAAAUAUAUUAUACUAAUAAAUACUAAAUCUUCUAGAAAGAAAAUAUAUUUUAUUUAACUUGACUUGCAAGAAAUCUCUUAGAAUUUCGGUCACACAACUCUAACAAUCUCCACCUUGACACAAAUUCUUACAAUGCUAUCUUUGCCAAAGCCUGCCACGAGCCUAUCUUGAACUAUGUAGGGAAUUAACUGAGUCGAAUCUGUGCUAAGAUGUUGGAAGACUUCUAGCCUUCGACUUGUGCACUUCCAAAUCAAAACUAGCCCUAGUCUAAUUUUUACGAACACAGUGCCAUAACUUUUCAAAAACUGCAUCCAAAAGAGAACCUCUCUCCAACAAAACAGUCAUACAUUUUUCCCUCCUAUGACCAAGUUGCCUCCGCUCCAAACGAGUUGACUUCGACUCCGUAACGGACGAGGGACAUCUAAUUUUACCAGUCACUGUAGAACCUUCCAGAAUAUAAAGACUGCCAGUUUUUUUACCUAUUAACAAAACAAGAGCUCCACGAGGUACUUUAAUGUCACUCGACUCAAUGUUGAUUCUGUAUCCUUUCAAGUCUAAAAUAUUCAAGGAGAUGAGAUUCUUUCGUAAAUCAGGUACAUACCUGACAUUUGAGAGUGUCCUAAUUGUCCCAUCAUGUAUCCUAAUUUUAAUAGUACCAAUACCAAUUACCGUACUAGAUGAGUCGUUUCCCAUGCGAACAACUCCACCUUCAACCGAACUAUAUGUGGAGAACUAUUCUCUAUUGGGACACAUGUGGAAAGAACAUCCCGAAUCUAGGAUCCACUCGAACGUGAGCUUGGAAUUAUUGCUUGUUGACACUAACAAGAAAUCAUCACUGCUUUCAUCAGCCAAUUAGCACCAUCUACAUAUUCCUCGUUACUCUGAGUAGUUAUUUUUUUCACAGAUUAUAACAACCUGCUUUGACGUGACCUAACUUUUUUUUACAAUAGUGACACCUUUUGUCUCAUUUCUUUGAUGCUACCAAAACAGAAGCUUGCCUAUCUGCCUUACUAUCCAAACCAAACUCAUUGUCGAGUUUGUCUCUACUUAACAAAUGACCCUUCACAUCUUCGAACGAGAGUUUGUCUCUGCCAUAAAUCAGGGUCUCCCUGAAAGACUUGUAUGAAGGGGGUAAAGAGCACAAUAAUAGCAUAGCUUGAUUUUCAUCGUCAAUAUGAACCUUAACGUUCAUUAAAUCAUUUAAAAGAGUAAUGAAUUUACUGAUGUGAUCUCUAAGAAACUCACCUUUGUUCAUGCUAAACGUGAAUAGACGUUGUUCCAACACUAAACGGUUAGCUAGAGACUUAGUCGGAUAAAGAGUUUCUAACCUUUUCGACAAGUAGAUGAGGUCUUCUCCAUCAACACCUCUUAUAAUAUCGUAUUCGUGAGGCACAACUGGAUUGUAGACAAGGCCUUUUCAUCAAGCUCUUCCCAUACUGUUUGAUUUAGAUUCUCAGGUUUUUUCUCGGUAAGAACCUUUUUCAAUCCAGUUUGAACUAGAAUUACCAUAAUUCAAACUUGCCAUAGAUUAAAAUUUGUCUCACCAUCGAACUUCUCAAUUUCAAACCUUGUUGCUAUCAUCUUUGAAUAGGCUAAUCUAUAAAAAUUACACUAGCUUUGAUACCACUUGUUAGGAUUGACCCGAUUAAGCAACAACUAAUAAAAAUAGAAAAAUAAAUUGAUAAACUGAACACACAAAUUUAACGUGGAAAAACCCCUCCAAAGAGGAUAAAAAACCAAGGGCAAAGAUAUUUUACUAUAAUGGCAAAAGAACGAAGAGUACAAAAGAUGGAGAUAAAAAACUAAACCCCGAAAAACCUAAAAAGAAAGAACCCUCAAAAUAUAAACACAAAAUUCUCUAAAUGUGUUAUGAGUUCUAAUCUCUAAUGGGUGUAUUUGUAACGCUAGGGUUUGUGUAAGUGUACACAGUCGUUAUCAAGUAAUAAGUAAGUAUGGAGUUAUCGUCUCCACAGGGAUUGUAUGUGUGUCGAGGCACUUAAUUUGAAAAAUUAUAUUAACAAUUUGAAAAAAUAAAAACAAAAUAUAGUUGAGAAGUGGUAUAAAUUAGAUGUAAUGAUCCCUAAUGUAAAUUAUCCAAAUAUGCAGACUAUAUGAAUGAAAUAGAUUUUAGCAAAAUUUAACACAAUUUGCAAAAAUUAUAACAUAACUGAACUAGGACAAUUACUUUAAUUAAACUUAAUUUAUUAUCAUCAUGCUUAAUAAUAUUCAAAAAAACAUUUCAUGGCAACUCUAUCUUUCAUGAGUUUGGAAACCAAAUUAGGUCCUUUUGGAAUCCUUUACUCAGUAAAUACGCAUUUUAUUGAUUCCUAUUUACUAAGGGUUUGUUAGCAUUCGUGUGAGGUAACAGGGACGUGUUAGGUUUGAAACAAUUUAAUCACACAAAUCUAAAAACUAUGCAGAUAACAGAGCCUAGUUAGGGUUGUUAUGCAACCUACAAUUUAAUCGGGUUAGGAUCUAAAUUGAGCAUGCACAUUUCAAUUAUGCGUCCAUUAGCCGUCGUCUGGUUAGGAUCGCUCAGCUAAUUCAGGUGUAUUUCAAUCAUGUAUGAACGAAAUACAGACUUGAUUUUAAUUGAAAACAUGAUCGAUUGAGGCACAAACAUUAUAAGCAUGAAUCAAAUAAAUAUUAUUUAAUCAAAACAAUCAUCCUAGCUUAAAUAAAAUUAAGCCAUUAUUGUUGUAAAGAAGAACAAAGAACACAUAGCAAACAUCUUUAUAUUAAAUUAAAGACAAGAAAGAUUAAACCCAAUUUAGAGUGGUUGGCACCCAAGACUCUGACUGACGAGACUCCAUCGCUUCUUCGCGUUGCUCCUUUGCUGAUAGUUCUCCAAUAUGGCCAACCAAGGACUUUUUAAUAGGCUAAUUUGCUAAAAUCCUUAUGCAAGGAUGAUGAUAGGUGUGAGAGCUAAGAGAGUUGAGAGAGAGGAUGAGAGAUGUGAGAGAUGAUGAGAUGAGGGAUGAGGGAUGAUGAGAAAUGAGCUCUUAUUUAUAGGUGAGGCAAGGGAGCUAGUUUGCUAAAAUUAGGAGUGUCGAUCCUUUGAAACCUCCUCCAAGAAUGGUAGGCCAUGAAUUGAGGAAAUGUGGCUGAUUUUUCCUUGAUUUUUGGUCAAUUUUAAUGCCACAACAACUCAGGACUAAGACUCGGUCUCCAACAAAUCUUCAGGUAAAUCUCUAAUUUCUUCAACUCUUCAAAGGCCUUGUAUAAUUAAACCAAAAAUUGGUUUAUAAUCAGCCAUGUGCAGCCAAAAAUUGGGUUGACUUGGUCCUCACUUUCGACAGUUUUGCAAUUAGAAGGAAACUCUCAGACCUGUCAAAGAUAACUACUUUAAUUAAUCAAUUUACUUAAUUAAUUAAACCCAAUUUUAUUAAUGAAAUAUUUACAAUGAAUUAUUAAAAUAUAACAUUAUAUUUUAUUAUUUAAUUUAAUCAUGCGUGGCCCACUUCAUAGCUUAAAAAUAUAAUAUGCUUAAAUUAAUAUAAAAUAAGUCAUUUUAUGCGUGAAAACUAUAUAAUAAAACAUAAAAUCACAUUUUAAUAAUUUCUAUGUCCUAAUUUCAUAUUUUCACAUAUUUCAUUAAUUUAUUAAACAAUUACUUGGUUUUAACAACAAUUUUAAGUAAAAAGGUGAUGAAUUAUAUAGAAAAAUCCUAUAUAUUUUUCCAUUUACACCCCCCAAACUUAAAUCAUUGCUCGUCCCGAGUAAUGUUCAUGCACAACACAAGGUCUUGCUAAGGCAAAUUUUGCUAAGAGUGUUAGUAGCAUCAAUCUUUGUCUCAUAAUCAUGCAUCAACAAAUUCAUGCUCAUAGAUCAUCUUUAUUAGCAAGUAACUCAUAUACAAACAUUUUGAAAAUUUUAUUCUAGGUUUCAAGAUAUGCCAACAUGAAUAAUAGUUUGCAUGUAUGUCAUAGCCAUAGAUAAUAUUCUUCAUUCAACACAAUUUAUCAUGAAUCAAGCAAACAAUCAUAAGGCUUAUUUAUGAUCUUCACAUGUUGAACUUAAUACUUCCUCUCCACUAAUGUAGGUGACAUAAUCAUCAAAUCAAUUGGUCUUUUAUAAGGUUCUAAUGGGGCUUGGUUUAAAGGUAGGGAUUUUAAGAGAUGGGACAUUUCGGUUUAAAAAAUCUUUACCUUUAACUUGUCUUGGAUUUCUCGAAAUUCAACCUUUUUCUUCAAGUGAACCUUUAGAACACCCCCAAACUUAUUUUGAACUCAAGCUCAUACAUUUUCCUUUUUAAAGACUAGGCGAACUUUUCUUCGCUCUUUCUUUGUCUUUGUGAUUUUUUUAAGCAUGAGCACAUACAUCUUUAUGAAAAUUUCCUCAAAUGUUGAUUCCCAAGACACUUAAGUUAAAACAGGUGCACAAAAUUAGGAAAAUUUUAAAAAGAUGGUAACCGGCUUAUAAUGUAGGUUCAUUUCAAAAACAGGCCUUAAAGCUCAAAAUUGUAGUUUCAAGGGUCUAAUAUCAUAAGGUGGGCUUGAAAAGGCUCAAACGAUCCAAAGAAAAAUGGUGUCUAUAUCAUUUUAGAUUUUUAUGUCCCCUAGGAUUUCGCCUCAAGAAAGUUACUAAGUCAAUUCUAAAGAUAUAAACCUUCAUGCAUGUCUGAUCUCAAGAGAAGCUAAGUUUUCACGGCAAACAUUACCUAAGACUAAGAUCAUAAAAACAUUCCAUUCUUCACGAUAACAUACAAUCACUCACAUAAAAUCAUCAUUCAUACUUGCAUACAAGCUAUCUUAUUAAAAAGAAUUUCUCUAAACAUUCAUUUAUUAAAACAUACUUAUGAAAGAAAUGAUUGAAACAUACUUGAAAAUUUUAAAAUUUAAGCAAUUUAUUUGCGUAACCCCCCUUUAAAAAGAAGCAAUGUCCUCAUUGCAAGAACAAAGUAUGAAUGAAACUUGAACACCAGGUAGGGUUGUCGAAACCAUUUUUUAUUUGAUUAACAAAAAUUUAGUAGUCGACUUAAAAAUAAAAAUUGGAGUCACCACCGAUCUUUUAUUGAGGUGUGAUCGGCUCACCUUAAAAAUGAUUUUGGUCUGCAGAAUUUGAGAAAAUAGGUUCGGGACUCGGUUACGUACGAGGAAGUUUUAGCACCCUCGUAACACCCAAAAUUGGUACCGAAUUGAUUAAUUAAUGUCUUAAUGUCGAAUGUUUGAAAAGAUUUUAAAAUACGAUCCUUUGAAAAGAAAAUUUGAAUAAAAUUAAUUGGAUAAUGAGACUCACUUAUUUCAAAGAAAUAAAUUGUCACACUCAGUAAGUUAGAGUGCAACAUCUUAAAUCCUCAAAAUUGAGUUUAUUUUUUUGACUUUUAAAACCUAUGCAUUUUGAGAAUGAUAUCUGAUUAUUUGGGUCAAAUGAAGAGAUCAAAACCCAGCAAGUUAGGGUUCAAUUUCUCAAAAUUCCAAAUACAGAAUAUUGCCUUUAUUUUUAGAAGAAUCCUCAUCUCGAGGAAACAACAUGUCAUACUCAAUACGUUAGGGCACAACGUAUCAAAUUCUCGAGAAUGAGCUUUUUUAUUUAUUUUUAAUUAAAGAGGAUAUUUGGUUUCCUAGAUCCCGAGGAAGAUUGGAAUCCAAUAAGUUAGGACACAAUCUUUUCGAGGAUCCCAAAUUCUGAGUGUCACGUUGUCUUGAAAGACUUUUGUAUAAAUGAUUUUGAUAUUUAAACGAUAUUAGACGUAAUCUUUAAUGUAACACGAUUGAAUGGUAAAGUAUGAGAUAAUUGGUAAUCCGAACACACACUAAAAAAUAAUGACCAAGCAAUAGAUAAAUGUUAACAAGAAUAGCAACAAUAAUUGUAAUCCUAUUAUGCAAACAUCAAUAUUACCAAUUAAACAUCAAACGAAUUAAUAAUCGAUUUUAAAACGUAUACUAAGAAAACAGGGGCAACAAGAGAAAUCAGAAUCAAUAAAUUAUACAUGCCAAAGUCUUGAAAUGAACAAUAUAUAUAUACCAAUACAUAAUAUUUUUCUUUUAAAAUAAUGCCUAAUAAAUCUGAAAUGAUAAUACAUAAUAAAUUUAAAAAUAAAUAUAUAAUAAAUCUAAGCUAAUAAUACAUAAAAAUUUAUGAUGUUAAUAAUAUAUUGUAAUUUAAAAAUAAUACAUAAUGAAAUUUAACGCUAAUAAAUACGAUAGUAAUAUAUAUGAAAAAAAAUUCAAGUGUAGUACAUAAAGUAAUAUGUACAUAUAUAUAUAAAUAGAUAAAUAAAAUAUAAAUAACAUAAUUACAAUAUCAAUAAGGCUAGUGGAGACAAUCAUAAUAAUAAUAAAGAAGAUUAAACUAAUUAAUAAAAAAAACAAAUAACAAAGAGGAUUAAGUUGAGUUUUAAACAAAAUUACAAGGAAAAAAAAAUGAGAAUAAAACAAAACAGAUGGCCAAAAUAUAAUGCACGAAUUACUUGGGGGACCAAGCAGGAAAUACUCCCUUCCCUCAAAACGCGGCGUUUAGAUCAAGACUGAAUUGAAACAAAUUCAAAAUUCAUGAGGGAAAUUUACAAAAAAAAAACAAAAAUGAAAUUAAAAUGAUGGAGUAAAAUGGAGGGAUCGAAGGCGCAAAUAGACCACACAACAAAAAUGCACAGAUCCUCCCCGGGUCGGGUCACCGUGCUAACCAUAAACCACCAAAUGGCGUCGUUUUAGAGCCAUUGGAACCGGCCUUAAACGACGUCGUUUUUUUAGACUAGAUAAAGACCACUUCAAACCCUAAAUUAGAAACCCCUUGCCAUUUUCAAAACUCAAGCCGCAAAACCUAUGUCUCUCUUCGUCGUUCGAACCCCUUCGACUCCGAUUUAGAUGGAAUGAAUAGGAACUCCGAUGACUCCUCCAACGGCAAGAUCCUCUCACAUUCUCUCUUUUUGGAUUUCGUAGAGGAGCAAAAAUAAUUUGCAUUAUAUCAGAAAAUGAAAUCUGCCAUUACUCUUUUAAAAAUCAAUCUAUUAUUAUUUUUUUGUUCAUAAUAAAAAAAUCAAAGAAAUAAAAGAAGAAGAGGAAAAAAAAGGAAAUCGGAGAAUCACCUUCAAAAAAUUUUGCUUUUUUCUUUUUGUAUUGAUAUCAUGUGUGUAAAAAAAAUACAAAGGUUCUUCCCUUUCUUUUAUAGCCGAGAGAAAAAGAAAGAGAAUAAAAUAAAAAUACAUAUCCAUUUUCUUUUUGUUGUAUUGUUUUCGUCCCAUUUGCAGGUGUACGGAGUUGGUGGACAUGGCGUGUACGAAGGAGAAGGUGCAGGCGUACAGAGGCUCGUCACGCGCGAGGGGCUUGGCUGCGGCGCCUGGAUCUUCUAGGGUUUUCGUGUGUUGUUUAGUGUUUUGGGCUCAUUUGGGGUUUGGGUAGAAUUAGAUGUUGGACCUUAAUUGUUUGGUCUAAUUUCUGCCUAGGAUUUCACGGAAGAAGAUAUUUUGCAAGUCUAGUCCCUGAGGAUUUGACCCUACUUCCCUUUUACUAUUCUUUUUCAUUAUUUAUUAGGGAUAGGAUAUUUUUGGUGCUUUCAAUGACCGCAUCAAAUUUUGGCGCCGUUGCCGGGGACUGGCAACGUAUUAAUCUUGUUUUUUGUUUCUUAUGACCAGAUCUGCUCCAGGUACUAUUGAGUUCGGUUCAAAAAUUGAGAAGACUACUAGAGCCAAUCGCAAGGAGACAAAGUUACGGAAAAAGCAGUCAGCGGAGGUUGGAACUCAAAGUAACCCAUCGCCAGAAAUAGAAGUCGACGACGAAGCUGAGUCUAGGGUUAACGAAAACCUUACUCGAACACUUGAAAGCGAAAAAGUAGAAGUCGACUCACCAGAAUAAGUGCUUAACGCUAGGGUUAACGAAAACCUAAAUCUAGCACACCAACCAAUGGCUCAAACGAUUCGGCAACUGGCCGAAGCUCCGACAGAACAAUCGCCAUUGUGCAUCUCGUAUCCUACUAUGGAUACUGAUUUUGAGUUGAAGACAGGUUUAAUCCAGUUAUUGCCAACUUUUCGUGGGUUACAAAAUGAAAAUCCCCACAAGCAUUUGAAAGAAUUUCAUAUGGUUUGUCUUAGCAUGAAACCUCAGGGGGUAACUGAGGAUUAGAUUGAAUUGCGUGCUUUCCCUUUCUCCCUAGCAGAUUCUGCUAAGGAAUGGUUAUUUUAUUUACCCCAUGGAUCUAUUACAACUUUGGCUGAUCUAUCUCGUUUGUUUCUGAACAGGUUUUUACCAGCGUCGCGAGCAGUUGAGCUAAGAAGAGAGAUCGUUGGAAUAAGGCAAAAAGAAGUUGAGUCCCUUUACGAUUAUUGGGAGUGGUUUAAGAAGUUGUGUGCAAGCUACCCACAACAUGGUAUAAUGGAGCAAUCUCUCCUCCAAUACUUUUAUGAAGGUUUGAAGCCUAUGGAGAUGAAUAUGGUAGACGCUGCUAGUGGAGGAGCAUUGGUCAACAUGACUCCCCAACAAGCGAGAGACUUGAUCUCCACGAUGGCUGCAAAUUCUCAGCAGUUUCGAGCUAAUACUGAACCCCCUAGAAGGGUUCACCAGCUAAGUAAUUCAACCUUAGAGGAUAAAGUUGAUAGACUUACUAAUAUGAUGAACUCUCUUAUUGCAGAAAAAGCGAAGACAGCUCGGUUAUGCGGAAUAUGUGCUACACCUAAUCAUGCAACUGAUGCAUGUCCCAGUUUGUAUGAUGAUACCACGGCCCAUCUGGAUGUUAUGGGAAAUUUCCCUGGGCCGCCACAAAGGCAGUACGAACCCUACACUAAUACCUACAACCCAGGGUGGAGGGACCAUCCUAACUUAAGCUAUGGGGCCAAUCCACGAAACAACCAGCCAUACCAAAAUUGGUUUCCGCAACAACCACAAGGUUCAGGUAAUUUUCUAGAAACCAUGGUCAAUAAGUUAGCAGCUAAUGUUCUAGAUUUUCAACAGCAAAAUCUUAAUUUCCAAAAAGAGACGAAGGAUUUCCAACAGAAAAUCGAGGCGUCCAUCAGAGAGUUGACCACAUUAAUCGAGAAAUUGACCUCUCAAGGGAAGCUGCCGUCACAAACAGAACCAAACCCUAGACAAAAUGCAAAUGUAGUGACGUUGCGAAGCGAAAAGGUACUGGAACCAAUUCCUAACAGGAAUCUUGCCCAAGAAAUCACCGAGGAAAAACCCGAAAAAGACGAACAGGUUCGACCGAAGACUCCAUUGCCUAAAAUUCAACCUCCAUUUCCAGAGCGAUUCAACCAGUGUCGAAAAGGUAAAGAGGACAAGAAAAUUCUUGAAACAUUUAGGAAUGUCGAGAUCAAUAUUCCGCUGUUGGACGUCAUCAAGCAAAUACCGCGGUAUGCUAAAUUUCUUAAAGAGCUUUGCACCAAAAAGCAAAAAUUAACAGGUAAUGAAAGGGUGAAUAUUGGAGAGAAUGUAUCCGCAGUGUUACAGCGGAAAAUGCCGGCAAAAUGCAAGGAUAGGGGCAUGUUUGCAAUACCAUGCAAAAUAGGUCAUCUGGGAAUUAAGAAGGCUAUGUGUGAUCUAAGGGCCUCUAUAAAUGUAAUGCCAUAUUCUAUUUAUGAAUCACUUAACGCGGGUUUUUUGACAAAAGCAGGUGUUAUCAUUCAAUUAGCAAACAGGUCUGUUGUGCAUCCAGAAGGAGUUCUUGAGUAUGUUCUGGUAAAAGUUAACGAGCUUAUUUUCCCUGCAGAUUUUUAUGUGAUCAAAAUGGAGGAGGAUAGCAUUCCUGGAUCUUCAGAUCUCCUGUUGGGUCGACCGUUCCUUAGUACAGCUAGUACUAAAAUUGAUGUUCGAAGUGGAACUCUCACGAUGGAGUUUGAUGGGGAGAUCGUAAAGUUUAAUGUCUACGACGCCAUUAGCCAUCCAAGCGAAAUUUUGAGUGUAAAUCGUAUCGACAUAAUUGACUCUUUGGUGGAAGAGAAUUUUGAUUCAAUUUAUGGAGAUAAUUCUGAACUUUAUGAAAUUGAAUUUGUUAAUGAGCUAUUAUCUCCAAAUACUAAACUGUUACCUUCUGUUAUACAGGCGCCAGAGUUGGAGUUGAAACCGCUUCUUGAGCAUCUGAAAUAUGUACUUUUGGGGAAGGGUAAUACCCUAUCAGUCAUAAUCUCCAAUAGACUCUCCACACAUGAAGAGGAAAGUUUGGUUCAUAUACUAAAAAGUCAUAAGGAGGCGAUCGGUUGGACCAUUGCAGACUUAAAAGGGAUAAGCCCUUUGACGUGCACACACAGGAUCUAUUUGGAGGAAGACACGAAACCGAGGCGAGAGGCACAAAGACGGCUAAAUCUGAAUAUGAUGGAGGUAGUACAAAAAGAAAUAAUCAAGCUUCUGGACGCUGACGUAAUUUACCCUAUUUCUGAUAGUAGGUGGGUAAGUCUGGUUCAAGUCGUGCCCAAGAAAACGGGCGUGAUAGUAAAGAAAAUGCUGAAGGUGACUUGGUACCUACCCGAGUACAAAAUGGGUGGCGCGUCUGCAUUGAUUGCAGGAAGUUGAACUCAUACACUAGAAAAGAUUAUUUCCCUCUUCCUUUUAUAGAUCAAAUGCUUGAAAGAUUAGCCGAAAAAACUCACUUUUGUUGUCUUGAUGGAUACUCAGGUUUCUUUCAAAUUCCAGUCACACCGGAGGACCAAGAAAAGACCACUUUUACAUGCACAUUCGGUACAUUUACGCACAGAAGGAUGCCAUUCGGUCUUUGCAAUGUGCGGGCCACCUUCCAAAGAUGCACGAUAAGUAUAUUUUCUGAAUAUGUAGAAAAAAUUAUCGAAGACUUUAUGAAUGAUUUUACUGUAUAUGGGAGUUGUUUUGAUGAAUGCCUUAAAAACCUAACGAUAAUUUUGAGUAGGUGCAUAGAAUUUAAUCUUGUCUUGAAUUAUGAAAAGUGUCAUUUUAUGGUAGACAAGGGUUUAAUUCUGGGUCAUGUUAUUUCAUCUAAAGGAAUUGAGGUCAAUAAGGCCAAAAUUGAUAUUAUAAAUUCUUUGCCUUAUCCCUCCACUGUGAGGGAAGUUUGUUCUUUCCUUGGCCAUGCAGGGUUUUACAAGCGCUUCAUAAAAAACUUCUCGAAGGUAGCUGAACCACUGUGUGAGUUGUUACAGGAGGAUAAGAAAUUUGAGUUUGACCUAAAAUGUAAGGAGGCAUUUGAUACACUCAAGCAAAAGUUAGUUUCCGCUCCUAUAGUGCAACCACCAGAUUGGAAAUACCCAUUUGAAAUUAUGUGCGAUGCCAGCGAGCGCAGUGUAGGAGCUGUGUUGGGGCAAAGGAUAGACAAAGAACCACAUGUCAUAUGUUAUGCCUCGAAAACCCUAGAUGUUGCCAGAGCAACUACACCACUACGGAAAAAGAACUCUUAGCCGUUGUAUUUCCUUUAGAUAAAUUUCGACCUUAUUUAUUGGGAUCUAAACUAAUUACUUUUUCUGAUCAUGCAGCCCUCAGGUACUUGAUCUCGAAGAAAGAAGCAAAACCAAGGCUCAUUAGGUGGAUUUUACUACUCGAAGAAUUUGACAUUGAGAUUCGAGACAAAAGGGGAUGCGAAAAUUUAGUGACUGACCACUUAAGCAGAAUAAAAGUACCUUUUGAUGACAUCCUUAUUAAGGAAGAAUUCCCUGAUAAGAGCCUAUUCUCGACUGAGGCACGUCUCCCAUGGUAUGCAGAUAUAGUAAACUUUCUAGCCACAGGAUCAUUACCCACUGAGUUAGCACGCUCCGUGAGAGACAAGCUUAGACGCGACGCUCGAUAUUAUAUUUGGGAUGACCCAUACUUGUGGAAACACUGUUCAGACCAGAUAAUAUGAAGAUGUGUUCCAGAAACUGAGGUAACUUCUAUCCUUAAUUUUUGUCAUGCUGAAGCUUGCGGAGGUCAUUUUGGCCUAAACGGACCGCUCAUAAGGUGUUAGAAUGUGGGCUAUAUUGGCCCACAAUUUUUCGAGACGCAUAUAACUUUUGUAAGUCUUACGAUAGGUGCCAACAUACAGGUAACAUCACUCCCAUUUAUUUCUUCAAUUGGUAAUGUAUAUAUAAUUCUUACAGUAGACUAUGUUUCUAAGUGGAUAGAAGCAAAGCCUACUCACAAUGGUAAUGCCAAAACUGCUAUGGAGUUUUUAAAGCAAACUGCUAUCGAGCCCUAAUUAGUGAUCGUGGCACCCACAUUUGUAAUAAGGUCAUGGAGGCACUGUUGGCAAAAUACGGAGUCCACCAUCGUAUAGCUACGGCUUACCAUCCCCAAACGAACGGUCAAGCUGAAGUCUUAAACAGGGAAAUCAAGACUAUUUUGGAGAAAAAAGUUUGUCCUAACUGAAAGGAUUGGAGCCUUCGGCUAAAUGACGCACUUUGGGCCUAUCAAACUGCAUAUAAGGGAUCGAUUGGUAUGACCCCGUAUCGACUUAUUUUUGGUAAAGCUUGCCACCUUUCGGUCGAAUUGGAACAUAAAGCCUAUUGGGCCAUUCGACAGUGUAGCAUGGAGUUAGAACCAGUAGGAAAGGCAAGGAAAUUAGACAUCCAAGAGUUAAAAGAAAUUCGCAAUGAUGCCUACGAAAAUGGUCACAUUUAUAAAGACAAAACAAAGUUGUUUCACGAUAAGAGAAUAGCUCAGAAGCAUUUUUCGGUAGGACAAAAAGUUUUACUUUAUAAUUCCGUGUUAAAGUUAUUCCCAGGUAAGCUUCGAUCACGGUGGCAAGGACCUUUUAUUGUUACUAAAGUGUUCACACAUGGAGCAGUUGAAAUAGAGAGUGAAGAAUCUGGAAAGCGGUUCGUAGUCAAUGGCCAGCGGUUAAAGCCAUUUUAUGAGAAUUUUCAAGCCCACACGUUUCAAAAAAUCCAUUUGGAACCACCAUAGAACCAAUAACGGCGUCGAGCUAAUGACAUUAAACAAGCGCUUGUUGGGAGGCAACCCAAUUUUUAUUUUUAUUUUUAUUUUUUUCUUUACUUUAUUUAUUACUUUAUUUUAUUUUAUUUUACUUAUUUGGAUAUUAAUAAUUUUUUCUUCUUUUUCUUAGAUAAAACAGAGCGAAAAUGUGAAGAAAACCGUUGAGCAACGCUUAGAGCGCAUUGAGGCCCGACUUGAAACCUUUUGCCAGCAACUGACCAAACUCAUUGCCAUCAUUUGCGACCGAUAGUAAAAACAUGGGGAGUUUUUCUAAACUUUUCUACCUAUUUAUUUCUUUUCGUCCACAUUGAGGACAAUGUGCUUUCAGUAGGGAGAGGUACUCUUUGUUAUUACUAUCAUUUUCUGCUGUGAUUUUGGUUAUUGUUGCUGGUGUUGCUGGUGUUGCUGCUUGAGACUUUAUUUUGUCCAUAUUUAUUUUUUUUGAAUCUCCUGCCUCUUUUCAUGCCCAAGAUUUUUACCAAGAAUUGCCUACUGUUUGACCUACAAGCAUGAUUCUUUUUUUCUGAGAAAAUUACGAAUUUUCCAUAAUUGAUGCCAUCUCCACUGUUUUAUUCUUAUCAGACUAAAAAUAAUUGUGAUUCAUAAAGUUAACUUUAUCUUGCUUUUCGUAAAAUUGAUCAAGUUUAAAUACAAAGUAGACACUUAAUAUGUUUGCAUGCUAAAAUAUGUUGAUGACUAUUAAGGUAAUUACUAAAACUUAUUUUUGACACUUGAUUAUUUUUUCUCUAAAGUCCUCAUAAAAAAGUUAUUAUUAAAUGUCGUUUAAUGUUUCUGUGGUUAUGAGUGCAGCUUAAAAACGAGACUGACUGAGUAACCGGGGUAGGGUGCUUGGGUUGUCAUCCUAUUUCGCGUCAAAAAGUUGUGUGACGUGUUAGGUAAAACUCCGCUAACCGGAAUUAAUUUUUAAGAACAUGUUGGGCUGAGUAACUGGGGUGGGGUGCUUGGCUGUCAUCUCUCUUUGCGUCAAAAGGUUUGAUGUGUUCGUAAGAAAAAUUAUAAUAAAUUAGGAGUUUGCUGGGCUGAGUAACCGGGGUAGGGUGCUUGGUUGUCAUCUCUCUUCGCGUCAAAAGGUUCAGUAUAUUCCUAAAGCAUAAAAAAAGAGAAAAAAACAAAAAGAAAAAAAAAAUAAUUUGGGGACUAAAGGAGGAAACAAAUAGAGUGUCUUGGUAGGUUUGGUAAUUUACCUAAUUUUCAUUAAAUAAUUCAAGUUGAUUGUAAUUUUUGAGUGUAUUAAUUGGAAAACUUUUUCUGUUUUACUUAAAGCAAGCUUAGGGUUCUCUUUAUUUUUCAUAUGCAUUUUUGAUUGGUUUUUAUAAAACUUUGGAGUUGUAUUUCUUUUAUGGCAGAAUCUAACUUUCACAGUAGAUAGGAACCAUACUUGAGGGCAAGCAUGAGCUAUGUAAGGGGGAUUUGAUAACACUCUAGAAUAAUGUAUUUUUAUGUAUUAAUUAUGUAUUUAUUCUGAGUAUGAUCCUGCUAAUUUGAGCUAUUUAUGAUCUUUUAUCUCAUAGGGACUAAAUUUGAUGCAAAAGCAAAAUUAAGGGCCAAAAGCAUGAAUUUAGAGAUAAAAUGGGCCAAUGUGCGACAUAAGGAAAAGUUGGUGCCAAAAGUGCAAGCAUGGAGGACACAAGGGUUGAAAUGCAAAAAGAAAAGAUUUUAUUCUAUUAAACUCUAUUUUAAUUAUAUUAGGAUAAUUAAUAUUGAGAUAAUUAUUAAGGAUUAUUUUUAGGAUUUUAUUUUAUCUUUAUUUAUCUUCAAUUAAAUGUAUUUAUCUUUUAGGAAUUUAAGUAGGAUUAGAAUAUCUCCCUUAGCACUAUAAAUAGGGGGUGAAGUGACUCAAAAGGGGAUCCCAGAUAUUUUUCUGAAAACACUCUCUCCCAAAAAGUUUAGGCUUUUGUUCUUCUCAUAUUUAUUUUUAAUAAAAUCUUUAUUUCUAUUUAUUUAUUUUCUUUUCUACCACAACCAUGAGCCACUAAACCCAUCUAGCCGAAGGUUGUCAAAAAUCCCCAAAAGGUUUCAUGAAGCUUAGAAUCCGUACUUAGCCUCCUCGCUGAGUAUUCAUCGUUUCUCCCCACUACGGGGCUGACGCUUUCGUCUAUGUCCCUAAAGAAGUAAGCUUUUCAACGUAUGCAAAGGUGGCCGCUUUGUAUGUUUUGGGAAGGUUGCACAGUCGGUUCAUUAGCUUACUGCGUCAGAGGUUGGCGAGCCCAAGAGACAAAAUGGCGUUGGAUUCGCCAUUGAGAAGUGUUGAUCUAGCAUAAGACGAUCCCAUAGAAGCGAUUGUUGGCUAGAGUCAGGUUCCACCACAUCGUAAGUCUAAGUCAUUGGAGCUGGUGGUCGUAGGCGUCCUCUUCCACUAUAACUGGCUUAUUCGGUUUGGGAAGGAUCAUCUAAAAGUCGAGGAUUGAACCCAAGGCAGAACGAGACAACUGGAGGCUGGAAUCUCCCAUAAGAAUUUCCUUUCUCUCAACUCUAUUUAUAAUUUCUCAAAUUUUCGAUUCAAUAUUCUUAAUUCUGUUUUUAUUUUAUUCUUCGUUUCCAAAUCCAAACCUUUAAUUCUGUUAUUUUUUAUUUUUUUCAGGAACGCAGGUUGUCUUGGGCAAGACUCUACUUGGGAUUCCACAUAACAAGAUAUAAUGCAAAUCCAGUCCCUGAGGAUUUCACCCUACUUCCCUUUUACUGUUCUUUUUCAUUAUUUAUUAGGGAUAGAAUUUUUUGGUGCUUUCAACGACCGCAUCAGUGUUGUUUAGUGUUUUGGGCUCAUUUGGGGUUUGGGUAGAAUUAGAUGUUGGACCUUAAUUGUUUGUCUAAUUUUUGGACUGGUGUUUAGUGGGUUUGAGGUUUAAUGUAAUCCGGGCUUGGAUUUUAUUAAAUUUGUAAUACUGGAUUGUAUUGGACUUUUAAUAUAUUUAUUUUAUAUAUAUUUUUUUAUAUUUGGGUUUUAAUACUUGGGUUUGGGUUGAGCAAAAUUUGGGUAUUACAGCUGCCCCUCUUUGCUCGUUAUCGUGUAACGGGAACGGAGCAAAGACUCUAGAAAUGGCCAAUUUUGCCCAGUCAUGUUGGACCUUGGCGCUCUUCUUCUUCGAGUUGCCUCAUUCCAUCCUACUGCAUCUUCAGGAGUAUAGGAAUUGGUGCAUCGAUCCACUCCACCGCAACGUCGGGGAGAUAGGAUUUGUAACUUGUAACUUUAAUCUGCUUAACUGUGAUGUUAGGGAAGCAAGACUCGCUAUUGUAACUUCAAUCUGUUCCAUUACACCACCAGAGAAGUAAGAUUUGUUAUUCUCAGUCUGCGCCGCUGCAACUUCAGGGAGAUAAGACCUGAUGCGAUCCACUCUACUGCAACUUCAGAGAGAUAAGAUCUAUUAUUUUAAUUCGCUCCGCUGCAACCUCAGGGAGAUAAGAUUAGUGGCUUCAAUCUACUCCAGUGUAACCUCAGGAAGGUAAAAUCAGCCACCUUCAGUCUGCCCCACUGCAACUUCAUGGGGAUAAGACUUACUUACUCAGUCUGCUCCACUGCAACCUCAGGGAGAUAAGACUUGAUGCGAUCCACUCUACUGCAACUUUAGAGAGAUAAGAUCUAUUAUUUUAAUCUGCUCCGCUGCAACUUCAGGGAGAUAGGAUUAAUGGCUUCAAUCUGCUCCACUGCAACCUGAAGGAGAUAAGAUUUGCCAUCUUCGAUCUGCUCCACUACUGCUUAGGGAGAUAAGAUCUGUAAUUCUUCAACCUACUCCACUACUGCUUAGGGAGAUAAGGCUUACAAUCUUCAACCUAUUCCACUGUUGUCCCGGGAUAUAGGAUUCAUAAUCUUUAAGCUACUCCACUGCUAUCCAGGGAGAUAGGAUUCACAAUCUUCAACCUACUCUACUGCUGUCCAGGGAGAUAGGAUUCAUAAUCUUUAACCUACUCCAUUACUGUGCAGGGAGAUAGGAUUCACAAUCUUCAACCUAUUCUACUAUUGUCCAGGGAGAUAGGGAUGGGGUCAUCGAUCUACUUUGCUGUCGGUGUAGGAAGGCAAGAUAUGCUAUUUUUAACCUGCUCUGCUGUAACCCAGGGAGGCAAGGCUAGUGUCUUCAAUCUGCUUCACUGUCGGUGCAAGAAGGCGAGAUCUGCUAUUUUCACUGAUCUGUUCUCUGGGGAACAUGACCUGUAUAAUGAACCUAAUUAUGCCUAAUGAUUAGGACGACAUGAUCAAAAUGAAUCAAAUGCUCCUAACUAGACAUGUAUGAAUGGUGUUUGCAUGAAUGCAGAAUUUUAUUUUUUCGAGAAUGAUCCUUCUUUAUCACUUAGGUUAUCAUUACUCAAAGUUGAUUAAAGCUUUAUCACUGACUUGCUAUAACACCUUCGCUCAGUCGGUAUCUCCAAAGGAACACAUAAUCAGAUUGCCCCCACUGUGAACUUCAAAGUUAAUUCCACUAGGACGCAAAAUUUAUGCCAUCUUUCUCGCGCUGUGACCCAAGGGUAGAAAAAUUUGGUUUUUUCUCAAUCCUCUUCUAUCAUAAUUGAAGGCUACAGAAUAUGAAACUCUUUGGUCCUUUACAUUAUGCCUAUGCACAAAUGAAGAAUUCUCUUCUCCAAGAAUAGCUUCCUCUUAUUAUUCAGUGAUCAUUGCUUGCUUGUUCAUGACAUCUCGUCAUUUUGUUUAAUUAGACUCUUCCUUUUCAGAUUUCCAACCUUUAAACUUGGUACGUUCUAAACAUUAGUCCUGUUUCAGGCUCAUGUAUUAUUUAGAAACUUCUAGAGUAAUAUGUAAAACUUCCCUUGUGAAAGUUUUAUUUGUCCAUUAAUCAUUAUCCCAAUGCAACAUGCUUGCAAAAAAGGUCAUAACAAUGGACAAGAAUAAAGUUGGUUCUGAGCAUAGCUCGAAAGGAAUAAAUUACCAAAAAUAGUAAAGAAGGAUAACAAAGAAAUUGAUUGGGAAUGUGUAUCUUGGAAAAGAAUGAAAUAUUCCAAGAACAACAAAUUCAAUAUAAAUAGUAUGAAAAUUGGGUGCCCUAGAUAUCGCAGCUUGAACUUCUCCGUACAAACUUUCUGAAGACCAUUCUGAGUUUGACAUGUGUUUAGGAGAUCUACAGUAUUUUGUCGAUGCCCCAAGAUGUCACCUACCCUUUCCUAUUGAUUCAGGUAUAACAAGAUCACCACAUGCCCCAAUAUGAUCAACAUUUGAGCCACCCUUUUCAGGUUUUUAACUCAAAUUCCCUUUGGCAUAAGGUGCCCUUUGCGGGUUUUCCCCUUAGCCUCUCCAUUUUUACUUUUUCAUUUUUUCAUUUUUCACAUUUUUUUGACUCAAAGUGCCCUUUGCGGGUUUUCACCUUGGUCCUUUCUUAUUCUUUAAACGAAGUAUUUCUUGACUGGAUCUGAGUUUAUAGGAUUUGGCAAGUUUUUACCAUCCAUCUCACUUAGAAUCAAAGUUCCACCAGAAAAGACCUUCUUUACGACAUAAGGACCCUCCCAAUUUGGCAUCCAUUUUCCUCUAAAGUCUUUUUGUAUAGGAAGAAUUUUCUUCAACACCAGAUCCCUUCGUGGAAUUAUUUGGGACGACCCUACUUAUUAUGGGCUCGUAUCAUUUGUUUCUGGUACAUCCGACCUUGAUGAAUAGCUUUUAACCCUUUUCCUAGGUUCAACUGAUCACAUCACGAUUGGAUCCAUUCUGCUUCAUCCAAGUCUAGCUCAACUAAUACCCGGAGAGAGGGGAUUUCAAUAGGUAAAACUACCUCAAUCUCGUAAACCAAAGAGAAAGGUGUUGCCCCAGUACAGAUGUUUGACAAGCAAUGAGGGAAAAUGGUAAUUUCUCAUGCCAGUCCUUGCAAGUCUUAGUCAUUUUUCCUUCAAUUUUCUUGAUAUUUAUCUCUAGGUAAUUCGGUGACGAAUUGUGGUGUCUGAUUUUGGCUUGAUUACGGACCUCAGCUAUCGCGCUAUUGUUCAGGCUCAAUUCAUUAUCCAAUAUAAUCCUCUCUGACGGUCUAUAUCGUCAUAUGAUGACAUUAGUGUAUGGAGCAACCUCUACUAGUUUGAUGAAGUAAUUGAUAUCCUAAAAAAUAAGGCGAUGCACAUUAGAAGCCUUCGACGAUAUUGGCCUAAUGUCAUCCAUGCCCCACUUUGCUCAAAAUUUGAGUCGCCCUUUUCGGGUUUUCAACUCAAAUCCACAUUUGGUCAAAACGCCUUUUGCGAGUUUUCGCCUUGACCUCUCCUUUUUCUUUUCUUUUUCAUUUCAUCAUUUCAUCAUUUUUUUUUGUUUUUAUUUUAAUUAUUUUAUCUUUUUUUUUAUUUUUUGAUUUUGAUUUCUUUUUUUUAUUGAAUCUGAACUCAUAGGAUUAGGCAAGUCAUUGCUAUCCUUUUCGAUCAGAAUCAAUUUUUUUAUAGAUAAAGUCUUCCACCUAAGAUCUUCCACUCUCAUCUUACAUGUGAAAAUCUUAUUUGGCAUCUAAUUUCUUUCUUAGAGCCUUUUGGGGCGCAACUAUGAUAGAAAACUUUGGAUCUUACUCUUUAAUCGGGAUAAAAUCCAAUAAAACUUGAAGAGAUGGAAACGCGACUUCAAACGGGCAAAGCUAUAAUGAGUCAACAAGAAAGGCAUUACCCUGGCAAAGAAUUGCAUCGUUCAUACUGCAAAUUUCUGACAUCGUGCUGUUGUGCAGAUUUCAUUAUCAGCUAUUAACCCGGGCAUAUCCUGGUAUGAUCAUACAAAGACAUCUUUGAACUCUAGAGGUAACUCAACAAGGUCUUGCUUCGUUUUCGCGAUCAGGUCAAUUCUAAUCUUCACCAAGCUCACAAUUCCUAAUGAUUCCUUGUGAGGUAGGAUCUGUCUAUCCUCUUGUUCUACCAUCCUCAACAAGUCCGGAGAUAAGCUACGAUCUAUGUCAUUUUCAAAGUCAUGAGAUCCCUCUAAACACAUGCCUCGCUCAAAAGGAAAAUCUGAGUCUGUAGCAGCGUCAUUCAUAUAAUUGAUAUUGGGGGACCCAUAAUAAGUACCAAAGAAUGUACAAAAGAAUGUAUAAAUUUAUGAAUAAUUAUUUGUACAAUAUGAUUAUGAAUGAAUGAAUGAUGUGGAAGGAAAUUCAAAAGAAUGAAAGAAUAAUUAUUCAAAAAGACUGAAAGAAUAUUGGUUCAAAAAUGAUCACAAUGAUGCAUUUCAUUAAAGUAACAAUGUUCAGACAUGAGCCUAUUUCACAAAGAAGUUCUGAUUGCUUCUAGGCUAAAAGUAACAAGUGCAUUCUGACUAUUACUCUAAGUAAGCUCUAAAUACUAUAGGAAUUUCUUCCGCAGUCCAAUUGCUUAGAACACUCCCAAAUUUAUAAGGACGGAUAUCUAACAAGGUCCCUUCUUCAAUUGUGUCUUCAUACAUGUCAUUGAUUUGAACGCUUCCCAACAUCUCUUCACACAUCGCAUCAAUCAUGAUUGGGUAGAGGGUUUUCUGCACUAGAGUCAUCAAACUUGACAACACCCAUGUUGAUGAGCCUUUAAACAAGCUUUUUAAAGAUGGUGCAAUUUUCUAUCGAAUGCCUCGCAGUUCCUGCAUGAUAAUCACAUUGUGCAUUCACGUCAUACCAUUUGGGGUACGGAGGUUGCAGGGGUUUUAAGUAGGGGAAACAACGUGCGCAUCGAAUAAGCUUUGAUACAGCUCCUUAUACGACAUCAGAAUUGGCAUGAACUGGAGCUUCUUAGUAUUUUGUUUCACACCAGAUUCUUGUCUUGAUGAACCUUGUUGACUAGCAACCACUUUUCUUGGCUGGUUCACCAUAAUCGAUUUGUUGUAUGUGCUUACGUUGUUUACCUCGUUCUCCUUUCUCCUUGCGGCUGACUUUUUGUUACUCUCUCCUGGCUCUAUUUUCCCAUUCCUGAUGGCAUUUUCAAUCAUCUCACCAUUCAUGAUUAUAUCUGAGAAACUCUUUGAGGCACUUCUCAACAUGUGCGUGAUAAAUGGGGCUUUCAGUGUGUUGAUGAAGAGCAUCGUCGUCUCUUUCUCCAAUAGAGGCGGCUGAACCUGGAUAGCGACUUCCCUCCAUCUUUGUGCGUAUUGCCUGAAACUCUCGCUCGAUUUCUUCUCCAUGUUUUGUAACGUAAUCCUAUCAGGGGUCGUAUCAGUUACAUGACUGUACUAUUUUAUGAAUGCAUGUGCCAGGUCCCUCCAUGAACCAAUCUUGGUACGGCUCAAUUGAUUGUACCAUUUGGACGCUGCCCCUACCAAACUGUCCUGGAAGCAGUGUAUUAGCAGCUGGUCAUUCUUAACGUAGUCAGUCAUCCUUCUACAGAACAUGGUGAUGUGAGCCUCAGGGCAACUAGUUCCAUUGUUUUUCGAAUUCAGGCAUUUUGAACUUGUAAGGGAGUACUAAGUCCGGAACCAAGCUCAGAUCUUUAGCGUCGAUUCCAUGAUGGCUAUCAGCACUUUCCAAGGCUUUGAAUUUUUCCUCCAACCAUUUACACCUAUCCUCCUAUUGUUUUGGUAGCUCUACGUUUGCCUUUUCUUUUUCAUUCGUUUCGUCAAAAUUGGGAAUAAUAGGGUUAAUUGGGUUAUCUCUUAGGCUUGAACUUGAUCCGUCUUAGAGAUUCACGGGCAUCGAGGCACCAGCUUGGAAUUGUUGAGGCCUAAUUGUAACAGAUGGUCUCAUUGGGUAUAUUUCAGCUUGGGUUUGUGCAUUUGGUGGAGUAAAACCCGGGGGAUAUAACGGAUCCUCAUUAUCUUCUCCAGGAUUGGCCAUAGGGUCCUUUCCCUUAUUUGUUCCUCCCGCCAGUAAUUGAGUUAAUUGAGCCAUCAUAUCUUUUUGAGAUUCCAUCAUCUUUUUCGUCAUAUUUUGUUGAAUUUUUUCUAACUGCUCUUGCAUUCGCACUUGUAACUAUUCUUGCAUAUCCUUUUGCAUUUGCUCCAGCUUCUCUAAUCUUUGAUCCAUUUCUUUAGUUUUGCGACGAGUACCGUAAGGGUGUUUGGUUGAUUGGUUUUCCAGAAUAGCUGAAAUAAAUUUACUCAAUUAGAAUCUUUCAAUGGAUUUUGAUGAUGUCAUGUAAUGUAAAUGCAUGAAAUGAAUGCCUAAAGAGGGGUUGAUUUUGAUUCAAUUACAUUUAGAAAACUUUACUAGAAGACAAAUUUCUUUACAUAAAGCUGUCAGUCUCGCCCUCAUAUUCCAAGAGACAACAUUGAUCCCUUCCUUUAUCCGUGUGCUAAGAUAAACCUUGCGAAUUCUUCAAAAAAUGUGUCUCCUCUAUCUCUUUUUACUUGAUCUUGGUUGCAAUCCGUUGUCUGCCUAUCCUCGUAAUGCUAAUCAGCUCCUUUAAGGAAGUUAGAAUGUCGAUGGCUCUUAGAUAGUCAUCUUGAAUCUUCGGGCCAUGAGGUAAAGUCACGAACUUUUCUUUCACCUUUUUUGUGUUUCUCGGAAUAUAUUCAGGAAGUCGUACUAUUUUCCACUUUAUCAAGAAAUCCGUAUUCCAUGAAAAACUUUCUAAUUUAGUAAUCAGACUCGAAUGAACAUCUCUUUCCUAAGAUGCAAAUGCAAUGCAAUCAUAGUCAAAGCAAAACAAAACGAGUUAGUACAAACUAAAAGCAAACAAAAGAAUACCUAGUCAGGAAACCACUAGGGGUUUGGAGUAGUCCUACCUAAGGUGGGCAUCUAAGGUCUUCUACAUGCGGUUUGGUUCUAAAGUUGAGGUACCCAAACCAGCAGAUUCCUCGAUCCUCACCCAUUAUAGGCUCAUACAGAUCGAGUUUGGUUUAGGGGAAUACAUUCCCCUAUGGCUGCACGGAGAUGAAAAACUCACGAAGACAUAGGUACGGAUGUAUUCCGAAAGUUAUCCACUAUCCUGCACGGAGGUGAAAACCUCACGAAGAAGUAGUUUCUCACUUCCAUUUAAAAGGUAAGACUAAACAAUCUUUAUGCAAUAUGAUGCCAAAAUAUAAAACUCAGUCCGUAGUAAUCAAUCACAAACAAAUGCAAUGAGAGGAUCGUAAUUUUUCAAAUCAAAUUUUCAAUUUUCGAUAAUAAGACAGAAAAUAAUCAAUUUUACGGCUUGACUCUCUAAAGUCCCCAGUGGAGUCGCCAAGCUGUCGAAACCAUUUUUUUUAAAAACAAAAAUUUAGUAGUCGACUUAAAAAUGGAAAUUUGAGUUGCCACCGAUCUUUUAUUGAGGUGUGAUCGACUCACCUUAAAAAAGAUUUUGGUCUGCAGAAUUUGAGAAAACAGGUUCGGGAGUCGGUUACGUACGAGGAAGUGUUAGCACCCUCGUAAUGCCGAAUCUUUGAAAAGAUUUUAAAAUACGAUCCUUUGAAUAUAAAAUUUGAUAAAAUUAAUUGGAUGAUGAGACUCACUUAUUUCAAAGAAAUAAAUUGUCACACUCAGUAAGUUAGAGUGCAACAUCUUAAAUCCUCAAAAUUAAGUUUGUUUUUUUAGCUUUUAAAACCUAUGCAUUUUGAGAAGGAUGUCUGAUUAUUUGGGUCAAAUGAAGAGAUCAAAACCCAGUAAGUUAGGGUCCAAUUUCUCAAAAUUCCAAAUACAGAAUAUUGCCUUUAUUUUUAGAAGAAUCCUCAUCUCGAGGAAACAACAUGUCAUACCCAAUGCGUUAGGGCACAACGUAUCAAAUUCCCGAGAAUAAGCUUUUUUAUUUAUGUUUUAAUUAAAGAGGAUAUUCGGCUUCCGAGAUCCCGAGGAAGAUUGGAAUCCAAUAAGUUAGGACACAAUCUUUUCGAGGAUCCCAAAUUCCAAGUGUCGCGUUGUCUUGAAAGACUUUUGUAUAAAUGAUUUUGAUAUUUAAACGAUAUUAGACGUAAUCUUUAAUGUAACGCGAUUGAAUGGUAAAGUGUGAGAUAAUUGGUAAUCCGAACACACAUUAAAAAAUAAUGACCAAGCAAUAGAUAAAUGUUAACAAGAAUAGCAACAAUAAUUUUAAUCCUAUUAUGCAAACAUCAAUAUUACCAAUUAAACAUCAAACGAAUUAAUAAUCGAUUUUAAAACGUGUACGAAGAAAACAGUGGCAACAAGAGAAAUCACAAUCAAUAAAUUAUACAUGCCAAAGUCUUGAAAUGAACAAUAUAUAUACCAAUACAUAAUAUUUUUCUUUUAAAAUAAUGCCUAAUAAAUCUGAAAUGAUAAUAAAUAAUAAAUUUAAAAAUAAAUAUAUAAUAAAUCUAAGCUAAUAAUACAUAAAAGUUUAUGAUGUUAAUAAUAUAUUGUAAUUUAAAAAUAAUACAUAAUGAAAUUUAACGCUAAUAUAUAUGAUUGUAAUAUAUAUGAAAAAAAAAUUCAAGUGUAGUACGUAAAGUAAUAUGUACAUAUAUACAUAUAAAUAGAUAAAUAAAAUAUAAAUAACAUAAUUACAAUAUCAAUAAGGCUAGUGGAGACAAUGAUAAUAAUAAUAAAGAAGAUUAAACUAAUUAAUAAAAAAACAAAUAACAAAGAGGAUUAAAUUGAGUUUUAAACAAAAUUACAAGGAAAAAAUGAGAAUAAAACAAAAUAGAGGGCCAAAAUAUAAUGUACGAAUUACUUGGGGCACCAAGCAGAAAAUGCUCCCUUCCCUCAAAACGCGGCGUUUAGAUCAAGACUGAAUUGAAAAAAAUUCAAAAUUCAUGCGGGAAAUUUACAAAAAAAAAUGAAAUUAAAAUGAUGGAGUAAAAUGGAGGGACCGAAGGCGCAAAUAGACUACACAACAAAAAUGCGCGGGUCCUCCCCGGGUCGGGUCAUCGUGCUAACCAUAAACCACCAAACAGCGUCAUUUUGGAGCCAUUGGAACCGGGCUUGAACGACGUCGUUUUUCAGACUAUAUAAAGACCAUUUCAAACCCUAAAUCAGAAACCCCUUGCCAUUUUCAAAACUCACGCUGCAAAACCUAUGUCUUUCUUCGUCGUUCGAACCCCUUCGACUCCGAUUUAGACGGAAUGAAUAGGAACUCUGACGACUCCUACAAUGGUAAGAUACUCUCACUUUCUCUCUUUUUGGAUUUCGUAGAGGAGAAAAAAUGAUUUGCAUUAUAUCAGAAAAUGAAAUCUGUCAUUACACUUUUAAAAAUCAAUCUAUUAUUACUCUUUUGUUCAUAAUGAAAUCACCUUCAAAAAAAUUUGCUUUUUUCUUUUUGUAUUGAUAUCGUGUAUGUAAAAAAAAUACAAAGGUUCUUCCCUUUCUUUUAUAGCCAAGAGAAUAAGAAGGAGAAUAAAAUAAAAAUACAAUAUAUCCAUUUUCUUUCUGUUGUGUUGUUUUCGUCCCAUUUGCAGGUGUACGGAGGCGGUGGAUGUGGCGUGUACGGAGGAGAAGGCGCACGCGUACGGAGGCUCAUCACGCGCGAGGGGCUUGGCUUUGGCGCUUGGAUCUUUUAGGGUUUCCAUGUGUUGUUUAGUUUUUUGGGCUCAUUUAGGGUUUGGGUAGAAUUAGAUGUUGGACUUUAAUUGUUUAGGCUAAUUUUUGGACUGGUGUUUAGUGGGUUUGAGGCUUAAUGUAGUCCAGGCUUGGAUUUUAUUAAAUUUGUAAUACUGGACUGUAUUAGACUUUUAUUAUAUUUAUUUUAUAUAUAUUUUUUAUAUUUGGGUUUUAAUACUUGGGUUCGGGUCGGUCAAAUUUGGAUAUUACACAUUCAUUUAUUAAAACAUACUUAUGAAAGAAAUGAUUGAAACAUACUUGAAAAUUUUAAAAUUUGAGCAAUUUAUUUGCCUUACCCCCCUUUAAAAAGAAGCAAUGUCCUCAUUGCAAGAACAAAGUAUGAAUGAAAACUGAACACCAGGUAGGGUUGUAAAGAAAGAGAGGUGAGUCAUUAAGACUUCUUAAAUACCAAGUCUUUCCUAAUAACCCAAUCCUAGACAUGUUCAUUCCCAUUGCCACAUCAUUUAGUCUUUUUCUUUCUAAAGAAGUAUUUAUUCAUGCUUUCUAUGUUUUAUUUUUCAAAAAUUAAAUCCUAAUUACUAAAGAAAUAAAUUCCUAAAGACCUAAAAAAUAAUUAAAUAAAUAACAAAACAAGAAUUCCCUAUUUUAUUUUUCUGACUCAUUCCCCUUGUCUUCUUUAGUUCCAUCUCUGCUUGCAUCGUCUGUAUCUUCCGUUCAUGUCUCAAAGAUAGCAUCUGAGAAUUCAAGAACAAAAGUGUUAGAGAUAUUCAUAAAAGUAUUUCAAAUUGAAUCAUCCCUAAUUUUUGCAUAUUUCCAGUAAGUUUGUUGUUGAUUGUGUAUGAACUUGCACAUAUCCAUCAAAAUUGUCAACUUCAAUUUCUUUGAAGUACUUGCAAGAGUCGGCAUUAGAUUCGUAAAUUAUGGUUCAACACUUAGCUUGACUGGUUCUUCUUCUAGCUCAACCCUUGGUCUUCAGUGUCUGUGUAACGCCCCAAAAAUGUAUAUUUUUGUUUAUAAAAAUAUGACACAAAUAUGUUUCUGCUUCAGUGGUUAAGUGUUCUAGGUCUGUGUAUGAGGUCCCAAGUUCAAGCCAUGCCUUUGGCGAAAUUUUGGAUUUUUUUCUGAUUAAAGCCUUAUCCUUGUUCAGUGGGCUUAAUUUUAAUUAUUUGUAAAACCAUAUCAGAAUGAGCCUACUGGUUCAAGUGGUAAGGCAGUUGGAGUGUUGGAGAUUCCGUGUUUGAAUCUUUGCGCGAGUGAGAAUGUUAAUUGUUUUACUCGAUUUCCUGGAAGAGUUGUGCAGAAGAUGGAUUCUGAGUAGUUGGGAUUUGGGGAGUUUAGCAGGAUUAUUUUUGUUCUUUUUUAUUUUAUUCAUUUCAAAUUUUGUUUCUCUUUCUUUCUCUCCAAAAUUCCGACGUCGACUUUCUUCACUUUUCUUCUUCGAUUUUUCUCGACUUCCUGUUGAAAUUUUCACAGUCAAUCAUCACUCUUGCGUUCAUGGCCCUUUUUCAUCUGGUAAGUGAUCUCUUUUAGUCUUCUUCCUUUGAUUUGGGGUCUAGCGACAUUAUUUAAUCGAUGUAUCCUGUGUUUAUGAAAAGAUCAAGGUGCUGGGGUUUCCGAGUCGGCGCUUUAAAUGUGCAGAUUAAUGUUGCUCGACCUAAGGUAAGAUUUUAGUCGAUUUAAGUGGGUUGUUCAUCACCUUUGGUUCGGUUUAAUGUCAUUCUAAGUGUUUAAUUCUGGGUUUGUUUGGUCAAUAUUAGGUAUUGAAGUGCUUGUGGGCGUAUUUGCAGUGAAACAAUACCAGGUGUGUACCCAAAACACAAAAAUAAGAGAUUCGGCAAAAAGCCAAAAUUGCUUGCUGUUUGGACAGCAGCAGUAGGCUAAAUUUGAAAAAUCACCAUAAAUUGUGAAAAUCAAAUUAGAGGAUCAAAAAAAUAUGGAAUUAAAUAUAUUUGAGUCUAGUUUUUGAUAGAAGAAACAAAGUAAGAAAAUAUUUUCAUGUUAUGGGAUAUUUGAAUUUUAAUGAGACAGGUUCAGAAUGAUUUCAAAAUCCCUUGUCCUGCCUUUGGAAAAUUAUUAAAAAUUUUAUAAAAAUAAUUAUGGGUUAGAAUUUAUAUGUUUAAAAUCUGGAGAAACAAACAAGAACAUCAUCUGAAUUCUGUACGAGAAGAUAAUUAAUUUUUUGUGCAAAAAGGUCGAAACUGUCAGACAGCAGAACAAGGAAAACUUUAAAGAAUAAACUGUACUUAUUGGCUAAACCAAUAAUUCUAAAAAUUUUAUGAUAAGAAAAUAAGUGAGUCUGGUUUCAGAGAAAAUUUUCAGAUCUUAAUUCGAAAUUCUGUAGCUUAAGACACAAAUACUUUAGUUACAGUGACUCAAGUAGACAACUUUGAAGGAUCAUAUAAGUAAAUACUGGAAACACAUAUGAAUAAUUAACUAUCAUCGGUUACAUUAAAAUGGAUCACGAGGCCAACGCCAAUUUGGGUCAUGUGGGCCACAUGGGCAUGUGGGUCCACACGAGCGAACAUCAUGGGCUUGUAGGCCCAUUUUCACUGUUUGAUUGAUAAGGUUGCACAGGUCGCCCAAGUCGUCUGUGAACCUACUGUAGGGUCGGUAAGUUUAUCUAGACCCCUAAUUGACUGAAAUGACUGUAUGACUCAUAUGAUUAAGCCUGAUGACGUUCCACUGAUUUGAUACUGUAUGCCCUGUUUACAUGCAUGAUAUUAUGUUAUAGCAUGUCAUAUCUGUAUAUUGCAUUACAUUGGGUUAGGGGAUUAUAAUGUUCGGAGGAAGUGUAUUGAAAGGCCUCGAGCCUAAUUUACUGGCAGCUUAGCUGCAAACUACUGUCUAGUGCCACAUUCGGUACUACUUGAAGUAUAGGGAUGGGUGGGUUGAUUAUAUCCCUACAUGGAGUGUAGGGUUGGACGGAGAUGGUGUGUAGAGGCUGGAUGAGUAGGAUUUUGGUGACUGCAUAUCUGUUACUGCUACUGAUACUGUGAUAGGCUAAAGCCUUACUUCAUGACUGUUUUUGUACUAAGAUGGGCUAAGGCCCAAACUGAACUGAUACUGAUACUGAUACUGAAAAGGGCUUAAGCCCAGACUAUGAUUAUUUGUUUACUAUCUGUUCAUUUGUAUGGGGAUUACACAUUGAGUUUACGUAAACUCACCCCUUCUGUUUAAUCUGUAUAGGUAAUCCCUAGAUAUAGGCAGAUCAGUGCAGCAGAGGACUCAGUGGUUGCCACACGACUUCUUUUACAUUGUUUACUACUUGUUUAUGAUUUUACUUUUAUUUGGGAGUAUUUUUAUGUAAUUAUGACCUUUACGUAUUUUAAUUUAAAAUUUGGAUUUUAUACGAUUUUAUGAUUUAAAUCUGCUUAGUGUUAGGUAAAACUCAGGUUUUCAAAUGAAAUUAAUGUUUUAUCAAAAAUACAACGAAUAAGCAAACUAUUUAAAAGCUUCCGCAUAGAAUAAACAUUUUGAAAACUUUCGACUGAUUAAUUAACACGACUUUAGAAUUAAUAAGUAAACUGUGAAAAGUUUUUUAACUGAAAAAUGUUUUAAGCAAAGCUACGGUUUUCAAACACUACCAUGUGACAUCGCCAGAUUCGGCCAUAACAUUUAGGUCGGGUUUGGGGUUUUAUAGUCUGUAACUGAAUCAGCUUCAGUUUUAGUUUUAUUUGUUGACUCUUCGGUUUCUGGAUCAAUUGGUUCCUCUUGCUCGCCUUGGUUCAGCUCAUGCACUCUCUCUACUAACCUUUCAAGAUCAUGACUUGUGAUGCACCCUUGGACAUACUGCCCCUUCAGAUUUGCUUGUGUUUUAACACGGGCCCUUAAGCAAAGUGAAGUGAUUAAUGAUUGAAAUUAGCACUUCCUGCCUUUUUUUAGCACAAUCGUGAAUUUUCUUGAGUAUAAUUUUCCCAACUUUAAUGGAAUUUUCUGUCAAAAUUGCAUAUAACAACAGCAUUCAUUACAUCGAGAUGGUGGAACUAUGUUGUCGAAACCUCUUUUAAAUUUAUUUGAAAAACGGGGAUCGACUUUAAAAAAUGAAAAUUGGAGUCGCCACCCAUCUUUAAUGAGGUGUGAUCGGAUCACAUUGAAAAUGAUUUUAGGUCUACGAAUUUUGAGAAAACUGGUUUGAGAGUCGGUUACGCACGAGGAAGGAUUAACACCCUCGUGAUGCCCAAAAUUGGUACCGAAUUGAUUGUUUAAUGUCUUAGUGUCGAAAUUUUGAAAAGAUUUUAAAAUACGAUCCUUUGAAGUUUAAAUUUGAAUAAACCAAAUUGAAUAAUGAGACGCACUCAUUUCGAGGAAAUAAAUUGCCACACUCAGUGAGUUAAGGUGCAGCAAUUCAAUCGUCAAAAUUAAGUAUGUCUUUUUAAUUUUAAAUUUUAAAAUUCAUGUAUCUUGAAAAGGUUAUUUGGUCAUUUAAGUCAAACGAGAAAUCAGAAUCCAAUAAGUUAGGGUUCAAUUUCUCGAAAUUCCUAAACAUCAAACAUUGCCUUUAUUUUAAAAUCCUUAACUCGAAGUAACAAAAUGUCAUAUCCAGUGAGUUAGGAUCCAACAAUUGAAAUUUCGAAAAACUUUAUUUAGAAAUCGUAUGGUUUUAUUGCAAAAGAAAUACUUGGCUAUCUAAAUUCAUCGAAAAAAAUUGAAGCCCAGUAAGUUAGGGCACAAUACUCUCGAGAAUCGGGAAUACCAAGUAUUUUGAGAAUUUACGGAAUAAAAUGAUUUUAGUGCUUUAAUGAAACACAUUUUGUAAACAAAUGUAAUAUGAUUGAAUGGCAAUGUAUGUUGUAAAAGAUAAUCGCAUGAGCAAUAGAUAAAUGCAAACAAGGAUAGCAACAAUGAUUUAAAUCAUAUUAUACAAAUAUCAACAUUAAUAUUAAAACUAGAUAAAUCUAUCAUCAAUUUUAAAAGAUACACCAAGAUGAUAUAAAAUAAUAAAAACAAUAUGUCCUACGCAUAGAAAUUUUAAAAUAAAUUACAUACAUAAACUCAAAAUAGACUUGAAAUAAAAUAAUAAUAACAUUUAAAAAUAGUAUUAAAAAAAUAUUAGGUAAACAUUUAACAUAUAGAUAUACUAAAAUAAAUUUUAAGAUAUAACCUAAAACAAAACAUUAAAAUAUGUACAAAUUAUAUCAGAUUAUUGUAAAAAUAUAUAUAUCAAUAAUAUCGUGUCAGGUUUGAAAAUAAAAAUAUAUAAUGGACCCUUUUUUAAAAAAAAUGUAUGAUAAAUUUAAGACAUGUUAAUUUGGAAUAUUAAAAUAAUAUUAUAAAUAAAAACUAAAUUUGUCAAAAUAAGCUCUAAUUUGAUUUAAAAUUAAACUAAUAAAAGUUUAGUUAAAAUUGAAACACAAUCAAAACAAAAAUAAAACAAAAAUAAAAUAAACUAGAGGAACGAAAAUUAAAUUGAAAUUAAAACAAAACUAAAUAGGCAAUAAACAUAAAUAAAAAUAAAAGAAAGACUAAAUUCGAACUUGAUUUAAAAAUUGAGGGACCACAAUAGCAAAUAAACGCAUACUUUUAAAGAUUUUAAUCUUCUUGAUGGAAACGACGUCGUUUGCUUGCGGAUCAAAAUAGAAUCAGAAUAAAAUGUGCAGUAAGAUUUGAAUACCUUGAAGAGAAACUGAUUUGAAAUAGAAUACAAAGAAAAGGGACCUAAUGCAAACUAAACCAUUUCUCAAGACGCGCAGAUCCUUUCCACAGAUCGGGUCACCGCUCGGGUAUGGCCAACACGUUGUCGUUUUGAAGUCAUGGAAGAAGACUUUAGACGGCGCCGUUUAAAUAAUCUGCAUAAAAUUUAAAAACCUAACUGAUAUUAAACAAUCAUCUAAAAUAAAACUAACAAAAACCUAAUCAAUUCUCUUUCUCUCUUGCGCUGCUCAGCCAACCAACGUUUGGAGGCCCCAAUUCCUCACUCGCCUCCGAUUGCGACGGAGGGAGCAAAAGAUCAACCACCAAGUACACUCUUUGCUUUCUAACCUUCUAUUAUUGUAUUGAAAAGGGAACAAAAGAGUGAAGAACAGAAAAGGAAGAAAAAAAAGAAAAAAAAUCUAUUCACCUUUCAAUUUUUCUGAGUAUUUUUUAUUUUUACAUUCAAUCUCUGUAAAAUGCGUAAAAAAGGGAUCCAUUUUUACAAAUCUUGAUGGCUUUUAUAGCCAAAUUUUCAAAGAUGAAAAGAGAAUAAAAAAUACAAUGUUUUUCCUUUCUCUGCUGCGCUAUUUUCGUCCCAUUUGCAGGUACGGAGGAGUGCAUACGUACGGAGGCGCGGUGACGUGGAGAGGACGCGUGGUGGUAUGGCUCGGCUGUGUACAGAGGCUGGUCACGUGCGGAAGGCUUGGCACGUGGCUAGCGGCGGCUGAGGCAGAUAGUUGUUUUAGGGUUUUGUUUUGAAAAUGUUUUAGGGCUAGGUAUGUGGGUCAAUGGUUUGGGCCUUAUUGGGCCGAUUGGUUAUUGUAAAUGGACUGCUAUUGGACUGUUGUUAAUUGUAAAUGGGCUUUUAAUAUUUUUUGCUUUUAUGUUGGUUUUAUUUAUUUUUUAGUGGGCCUGGGUCAAAAUUGGGCAGUACAUGUGAGAUAGACAUAAAACUGUAGCGAACAAAAUAAAACCAUACCUUUGCUACUGGUUUUAAAUAUUCUCUUCGACAAGAAUGGCUUCUAUACUUUCUUAUAAUCCAUUGGGAUCCCGGAUUUGUCACAACAUUAAGCACUUGUUGAAGAAAAUCUCAUUUGAUAUUAUUCAUCAUAGGGUAGUACUCAUCUUCCUCAACAUCAGGUAAAUUAAACAAAUCAUUGAUGGACUUAGAAGUAAGAGAUACCUUUUUCUUUCAAACGAUGACUUCAGUAGCAUCUUGUGUAGUCAAUCGAGCAUAGAAUUCUAAAACUAGUUCAUCAUCGAGAAGUGAACGAGCAUCAAAGAAUCGUUCCCACUUAGAGCAUUGAUUAUCUUUAUAAUUGGCACAGGGACAACCAUCACAUCAUUGCUCUUCAGGUUAAAACAUUUUUCCGACAUCAUAGGUUGAUGCUUGAAAAUUGAAUCAAAUCGCUCUUUCACUUCUUCAUCGAUCAAAAUCUGGUUUUCAGAAGUAGUUUUUAACGAUCUAGUUCUUUUGCGAGACAUAUUAUUUUCCCAAAAAUUCGGCAAAGUUUUUUCUUGCAGAGGCAAAAGAGGGUGGAUCUUGCUUCGGCAAACCUUGCAAUGGUGAAGGAGUUGUGGCGGUGACAACUACGUGCGGCAGCAAUAGUGGUAUGCGGUGGCGAUAAUGACUGCAUGCGGCAGCAACGUCGAUGCUUCGGCAAUUCUCUUGUGGCGGCACUAGGUAGUUUUAGCCAAAGAAAAGAAAAAGGGCUAGAGAUUCCUUUUGGGAUUAAAGGCUAGCGGCACAAAAAGAGAGAUUUUAAGGAAUUUUAGGGUUUAAGCAAAUUACUUUGAGAGAUAUGAAAAUUUAGUAGAAUGAAUAGGGGUUUAUAUAGGGAAAUAUUAGGGCAACAUGUAGCAAAAAAUUUAGCUAAAUUAAAGUUACUUGGGCGGCAAGUAAUGGGUGUGACGGCAAGGGUUAAAAUUUCCCUCCUUUUUGCUAUCUUAGGCCUCAAACUCCAACUGUAUCUCACUAAAAAAUAACUUAUUAGUACUUGGGCCAAAUUUGACCCCCUUUAUUAACAUAAAAAUUUAAAAUUUAACAAAAUAAUUUAAACUAGAAAAAGAUUUUAAAACCUAAUUAGAAGAUUUCUUCUUAACAAAUUACAUUAAAUUAAUUCCCAGGAAAGGUUGGAGGGGUCACAGCGGUCCCGCUUAAGUUCCAAUCUCCUUAGACAGAAUUAAUUAAAUGAAAUUAAUUAAGAAAAAUAAAUUCUAAUUAUUUAUUUAUUUACAAGAUGAGUUUAUGAAAAAUCAAGGGUAUGUUAAUUUGAACGAAAAUUCAACUCGCUCAACUUCACCAUCCUAGUAGUGUUUGAGACAUUGACCAUUAACUUUAAACGUACCUCCGUAAUUGUCGUACAAUUCAAUAGCUCCAUAAGGAUAAACUCGGUGGAUGGUAUAAGGUCUUUUCCAUUGGGAUUCCAUCUUCCCAGAAAAUAACUUUAGCAUUAAAUUAAACAAUAACACCUUUUGACCUUCUUUAAACUCGUGAGGUUGUAUAUGACUAUCAUGCCAUCUUUUUUAUCUUUCUUUAUACAUUUUGAAGUUCUAAUAAGAAAGAAACCUUAGCUCUUCCAACUCAUCAAGUUGUAACAUCCUUCUCUCACCGGUUUGCUUAAGAUCAAAAUUUAACUACUUCAAAGCCCAGUGAGCUUUAUUCUCCAAUUCUAAUGGAAAAUGACAUGCCUUUCCAAAGGCUAACCGAUAAGGAGUCAUUCCUAACGGAGUCUUGAAUGUUGUUCGAUAGGCCCAUAAGGCAUCAUCGAGCCUUUGAGACCAAUCUUUUCUGUUAGGGCAUACUACCUUUUCAAAGAUACCUUUGAUUUCACGGUUCACUCUUUCAACUUGUCCAUUAGACUGGGGGUGAUAAGCAGUAGCAAUCUUGUGCUUCACAUCAUAUUUUUCAAGCAACCACUUAAGCCAUUUGUUCACAAAGUGAGAACUUUCAUCACUAAUAAUAGCUCUUGGUAUCCCAAAUCGUGUAAACACAUGCUUAUGUAGGAAUCGCAUGACUACCUUAGCAUCAUUUGUAGGGUAUGCUUCAGCUUCAACCCACUUGGAUACAUAGUUCACAGCAACUAAGAUGUAUUUGUUCCCAUAUGAAGAAGGAAAUGGGCCUAAGAAGUCAAUGCCCCAUAUGUCGAACAAUUCAAUCUCUAAAAUGUUCAAGGGCAUCUCAUUCCUCCUUGAUAUAUUUUCGGUUCCUUGGCACUUAUCACAGUUCUUCACAUAAGUGUAAGCAUCUUUAAAUAGUGUAGACCAAAAGAAACUUGCUUACAAAAUCUUUGCUGCAGUACGUGAACUACCAAAGUGUCCCCCACUUGGAGAUGAAUGGCAAUGAUAUAAGAUCUCAGCAAUCUCACUUUCAUCUACACACUUUCGGAUUAUAUUAUCUGCACACUGUUUAAACAAAAACAGAUCCUCCCAAAAAUAAUACCGACUAUCAUGAAGGAAUUUCUUCUUUUAUUGGUAUGUCAUUUCUCAAGGAAUUAUUCCACAUGCAAGAUAAUUAGAAAAAUCAGCAAACCAAGGUAUUUCAUGAAUUGGAGUUACCUCAAAUAAGUGCUUAUCUGGGAAAUUCUCGUUGAUAGGCACACCAGACUGGGUUACCUUAUCUUGCUUCAACCUCGACAAAUGAUCAGCUACUUGAUUUUCGAUACCUUUUCUAUCUUGGAUCUCGAGGUCAAAUUCUUGGAGUAAAAGUAUCCAACGAAUUAGCAUUGGUUUUGCAUAUUUCUUCGUGAGCAAGUAUUUAAUGGCCGCAUGGUCAGUAAAUACUGUAACUUUGGUACCUAUAAGAUAUGAACAGAAUUUGUCAUAAGCAAAAACUAUAGCAAAUAGUCCCUUUUUAAUUACCGUAUAAUUGAGUAGGGCUCCCGUCAAGGUUCUACUUGCAUAGUAAAUGGGGUUGAAUACUUUAUUUCUUCUUUGAUCGAUCACAACUCCAACAGCAUAAUCACUUGCAUCGCACAUCAACUCAAAAGAUGAGUUCCAAUUAAGUGUAAAGAUUAUUGGGGUUGUAAUUAACCGAUUCUUUAGAUCUUCAAAAGCUUCCAAACAUGCUUUGUUGAAAUUGAGCAUUGUAUCUUUCUCUAACAACAAACACAGCGGCUUAAAAAUUUUCGAGAAAUCCUUGAUAAACCUUCGAUAAAAACUGGCAUGGCCUAAGAAACUUCUGACUCCUUUCACAUUAAUGGGGGCCGGUAAUCUUUCAAUUACGUCCACCUUUACUUUGUCAACUUCAAUUUCUUUCUUGAGAUCUUGUGACCUAAGACAAUUCCUUCAUUGACCAUAAAAUGGCAUUUUUCCCAAUUAAGGACAAGAUUCGUCUCUUCGCAUCUCUUUAGUACCUUAGCCAAAUUACUCAAACAGAUAUCAUAAGUGUUACCAAAAACAAAAAAAAAAUCAUCCAUGAAAACCUUGAUGAAAUUUUUGACCAUAUCAGUAAAUAUUACCAUCAUGCAUCGUUGAAAAGUUGCAGGUGCAUUGCAUAAACCAAAAGGCAUUCACCUAAAAGCAAACGCACCAUACGGACAAGUAAAGGUUAUUUUAUGUUGGUCCUCCGGGGCUACAACUAUUUGGUUAUAUCCCGAAUAGUCAUCUAAAAAAAUAAUAGAAUUAAUUACAUGUCAGUCGAUCUAACAUCUGAUCCAUAAAAGGCAACGAAAAAUGGUCAUUCCAAGUGGCUUUGUUAAGCUUUUUGUAAUCAAUACAGAUUCUCCAACCUGUAACAGUUCUCGUUGGCAUUAACUCAUUAUGCUCAUUUUCAAAAAUCGUGAUUCCACCUUUCGCCGGCAUACACUGUACCGGACUUACCCACGAACUGUCUGAAAUAGGAUAGAUGAUUCCAACAUCUAACCAUUUAAUCACUUUCUUUCUCUCAACUUCUUCCAUAUUAGGAUUGAGCCUCCUUUUCCCAUCAAUUCAAGCUCUUUCACCUUCUUCUAAAAUGAUUUUAUGCAUGCAAAAUGAAGGGCUUAUACCUCGAAUAUCAGCUAUGCUCUAACCAAUUGCUUUCUUAAAUUUAUUUAGAACAGCAAUUAAUCGCUCCUCUUGAUCUUUUGUCAGUUCCACUGAAAUAAUCACAGGCAAAGUAGAACAAUCACCUAAAUACACGUAUUUCAAAUGGGAAUGAAGUACCUUUAGUUUGAGUUUAGGUGGUUCUUCGAUUGACAACUUGGGUUGCACAAAUUCUCUAACUUCCAACUCCAACGAUUCAAACCGUGUGGAUUGAAUAUAAUUUCUCAGAUUAGAUUUCAUCAAAGCCAUGUUUUCUUCACCUUCUUCAUCCUCCAAAGGGUCAAGAUCUAAAGCUUUCUCCAAUGGAUCUUCUUCAAAAUUUCUUUCCAAAUAAACCAAGAUUUCUAUCUCUUCCAUAACUGAACACUCCUCUACCGGAUCAGGAAAUUUCAUUGCUUUAAGAAUUUUAAAGGUUACCUGAUCGUCUUGAACUCGCAUGGUGAGUUCACCUUUCUGCACAUCAAUUAACAUUCUUCCUGUGGCUAGGAAAGUUCUUACAAGGAUGAUUGGCACUUCCUUAUCUACUUCAAAAUCUAAAAUAAUGAAAUCAGCAGGAAAAAUAAAUUUAUCGACUCUUACCAAAACAUCAUCGAUCUUUCCUUCGGGAUAUGCUAAAGAUCGAUCUGCUAGCUGAAGCGUCACAAUUGUAGGUCUUACUUCACCUAUUCCUAACAUCUUGAAAAUAGACUUAGGCAUUAAGUUGAUACUCGCUCCUAAGUCACACAAAGCUUUACCACAGUAAGAUUCACCAAUGUUACAAGGUAUAGUAAAACUUCUUGGGUCUUUCAAUUUCGGUGCAGUUUGUUUUGCAGGAACGCAUUGCACUCUUUUGUCAAAGCCACAGUAUCAUACUCACUCAGUCUUUUUUUCUUGGACAGUAUAUCCUUCAUAAACUUCACAUAAUUUGGCAUUUGUUCUAAAGCCUCCACCAACGGAAUAUUGAUAUGUAACUGCUUCAGAACAUCCAAAAACUUCUUAAAUUGCACCUCAUGUUUCUACUUGUGUUGCUGCAAUCUUUGCGGAUAUGGAGGUGAUGGAACUUUCGGUUGAACCGGACAACUUUUCUGAGUGGGCAAAUCUGCAUCCAAAAAAGAUGUUAAAAUAUAUGAAUUCACUAGCUCAGGGUUUACCUUGUCAGACUUUAAAGAUUCUGAUUCCUUUGGUGUAGGAACUUCAACAGCUGGUUGACUUCCCUCCUUUUCAACAUGCUCAUCAUUGACAUCAAUCAAUCAGGGUUCCAGAUUCUUUCCACUUCGCAAUGCCACUACCUUGAUAUGUUCUUUACCCAAAUUUCUUGGAUUCUCAGUAUCACUCGGCAAGGUUCUUUACGGUCUAUUACGAAGCUCCGUAGCUAAUUAACCCAGUUGGUUUUCCAAAUUUUUUAGUGUUGCUACUUGGCUUUGGAUCAAAGCGUCAUUCUUUGCCAUGUACACUUUCAAUAAGUUCUCGAAACUGUUUGAUGCCUCAGCUUGAGGUGGUUUUAGAGCUUGCUGAUUAAACCCUUGAGAUUGGUUGGGUCUUUGCUGUAAUAAGUUAUUGUUCGGUCCAUUUCCUUGGUUGCUCCAAAAAAAGUUAGGAUGAUUACGCCAUGACGGAUUGUAGAAAUUGGACUGGGGUCCUUGUCCACUCCUAUUUUGAUAUUGGUUCCCCACAUAGUACACUGACUCGGGAUUUGAUGGACAAUUCUCAAAAGAAUAACCUUCUCGAUAGUACACACAGGAAACUACUUCAAACAGACUUGGUGGUUGAGCUGCAAAAUUAUUAGUACUAUUAGCAAUUAACUGUUUUAACAUAGAGGAAAUAGACGAUACCUGAGUUGAUAACGAAGUGAGGGAGUCAACUUCAUGAACUCUAGCUAAUGUCUUUCUGAAGCUAUUCGAUUUGUUGGCCAUUGAUAGUUAUUACUCGCGAUCCUCUCGAUGAUCUCCUAAGCCUCAUUAUAAGACUUAGACAAAAUUACACCAUUCGCAGAAGCAUCUACCAUUAAUCUUGUAUGUGCAUUGAGACCAUUAUAGAAUGUCUCCAAAUGGAUACAAUGAGGAAUCCCAUGAUGAGGACACUUACGAAGUAACUCCUUGAAUCGCUCCCAAACCUCAUACAGAGACUCGUCAUCCAAUUGCUGGAAAGUUGUGAUCUCGUUCCUCAACUUAGCAUUUUUGCUAGGUGGGAAAUACUUAACCAAAAAUCUCUCUGCUAAUUCUUGCCAUGUAGAUAUGGAACUUGGUGGCAAUAAAUUGAGCCAUGCUCGUGCUCGAUCUCGCAACGAGUACGAAAACAAAUUCAACCUCAGUGUGUCUUCAGUCACACCGACUAUCUUUAAUGAAUCAGUCACCUCCAUAAAUAAUCGAAGGUGAACAUGUGGAUCUUCCGUAGGCAUACCACUAAAUUUGCCCAUCGUUUGUAGCAUUUGAAACAUCAUUGGUUUCAAUUCAAACUGGGUUGCCUCAAUAUUUGGCCUUCUAAUUCUUGGGUUUAAAUAAUUGAAAAGUGGCACAGCAUAUUGUCUGAUGCAUCGAUCCCUAUCAUCGGCAAUGAGGAUGGGAUUUCGUACAUUAUCGGCUUCAUUACCUUGGUCUUGAUUCUGAUUUCCAAGGUCCAUCUCGACUUGUCUUUGAGCUAUUCGUUCACGUCUUUUUUGUCUGAAAGUUCGCUCAAUUUCAGGGCCUAAAGGGAGUAAAUCGAUAAUUCGAUCUAUGCUCAUAAACACCUAACAAGAAAAUCACAAAAAUUAGAAAGAAUAAGUUAAUAAUGUUAGAAAUAAAUCAAAUUGACAAUAAAUAAUUUCACGAAAAAAAAUAACUAUGGUAACAUUUGACAAUCCCCAGUAACGGUGCCAAAAAACUGUAACGCUAGGGUUUGUGCAAGUGUACACAGUCGUUAUCAAGUAAUAAGUAUCGAGUUAUUGUCUCCACAGGGAUGGUAUUUGUGCUGAGUCACUUAAUUUGUAAAAUUAUAUUAACAAUUUGAAAAAAUAAAAACAAAAUAUAGUUGAGAAGUGGUAUAAACUAGAUGCAAUGAUCCCUAAUGUAAAUUAUCCUAAUAUGCAGACUACAUGAAUGAAAUAGAUUUUAGCAAAAUUUAACACAAUUUGCAACAAUUAUAACAUAAAUGAACUAGGACAAUUACUUUAAUUAAACUUAAUUUAUUAUCAUCAUGCUUAAUAAUAUUUGGAAAAACAUUCCAUGGCCACUCGAUCUUUCAAGAGUUUGGAAACCAAAUUAGGUCCUUUCGAAAUCCUUUACUUAGUAAAAACGUAUUUUACUGAUCCUUAUUUACUAAGGGUUUCUUAGCAUUCGUGUGAGGUAACAAGGACGUGUUAGGUUUGAAACAAUUUAAUCACACAAAUCUAAUAACUAUGCAGAUAACAGAGCCUGGUUAGGGUUGUUAUGCAACCUACAAUUUAAUCAAGUUAGGAUCUAAAUUGAGCAUGCACAUUUCAAUUAUGCGUCCAUUAGUCAUCGUCUGGUUAGGAUCGCUCAGCUAAUUCACGUGCAUUUCAAUCUAAAAACUAUGCAGCUAACAGGUAAAUUAGCCGUCCAUUAGCCGUACCUUGAGCUUUUGUCACACUUCUUCUCUGCACUCAAUGAAAUAAAACACAACAUAAAAAUAUAAGCACCAUUUCUUUUAUUACUUUUUCUACUAAAAUAAGUUUUUUUUUCUCGUAAAAAACCUAAGAUGGGGAGAGGGUUUUAAAAUUCAAAGCCUUCAAAAAUAGAUGAGUUUGAGGUUGUUAAUAUUAUUUUAUAUUGUUGAAUAGUAAAUUAAUUUUAUCGAUGGUUGAACCAAUUAGAUCGAGAAUUAAUGAUUUGAUUGAUUUGAGUUUGGGCUGCUCAUUAUCUUGACUGCAUUUAUCAUUUAAUUCUUUUUUUAAUUAGCCAAACUCAUGUUCACAAUGGUAUAACAGUAAUUAAUGACUUCAUGGACAGAACAUCAAUAUAUAAAUACACAAACAAAUAUAAUGGGAAUUGGAGAACUCCCAUUUAUACAAACAAAUAUAAGUGGGCAAAUUCAAUACUCAUAAUAAAUACACAAAGAUGACUAAAAACAUUAUUAAACCAGAUCCAGUAUGCAGCAUACAAGAAAAGGGGGUAUUUCAAGGAGUAGAACGAGAAGGUGGUGGAGAAAAGGAAGGAAUAGAGGGAACUGCAGUUGGGAUUGAGGGAAUGCUUGGCAGAGGCGGCAGUCAUCUUGGCAAUGUGGUAGGAAGUGGAGGAAGCGCCCCAGGGUUUGGGAGAUUAGGGAAAGAUGGCAAUGGCGGAAAAGAGAAAGGAAUAGGGGGAAUUGCAGUUGGGAUUGUGGGGACUGAGGGAAUGCUUGGCAGAGGGGGCAGUCCUGUUGGGAAUGUGGUAGGAAGUGGAAGAAGCGCCCCAGGCCAUGAGAAUGAUGGUCGGGAUGGCGUUGGGAGAUUAGGGAAAGAUGGUAAACUUUGCGUUCGAGGCUGCUGCAGAAGGUGACGAGCUGCUACCCCAACAUCAAUGCCUGCAAAUGACAAAGCAAUCAAGAAUGCUAAAGCAAAGCAAUUGAAAGAGGCCAUUUUUGUUCAAAGAUUUCGAAACAAAUGAAGCAGAUGAAACGAAGUUCUUUAUCUGAAUAGUUGUGAGUGAGGAAAACAAAGCAUGGUAUUGAGGUUUAUAUAGGCAUUGGAGUAGUGAAUAGAAAUCCCCUGCCCUUAAACAAUGCCCCAUGCAUGCCCCCAAACCAAAUUAGCGCCACAUGUUUUUUAUUUUUUCCAUUUUAAUUGUAGUUCAUUUUUUAAAUAAAAAAUUUAUAAUGAUUUGAAUUAAUUUUUAACUUAUUAUCAACGUUUUUAUUUUUGUUUUAUUUUUAUUUUACAUUAAUUUUACCUAUUCUUUAAUUAACAACUUUAUAAUGACUUAGAGUUUAUCUAAUAGAGGUUUUUUUUUUAUAAUCGGUCUUAUAAUAAAAUUUUAUAAGGUGGGAACAAGUCCCACUGUGACAACAUGAUCCUUCAAUUUUUGGUGGUGGCAUGCCUUUAGUCAAAGGAUCAGCUAACAUCUGCUCAAUGCUAAUGUGCUCAAUGACCAAUUUCUUUUCUUUAACAUGUUCCCUCAUGCCUAGGUACUUAAAGUCGAUAUGUUUACUUCGACUUCCACUUCUUCCGUUCUUAGCCAUAGAGACAGCAGUUGAAUUGUCACAAUAUAUGAAAUAAUCAAAACCCAUAAUGACUCAGCCCAAAAAUCUCGAGCUUCAAACCCAAAUUAAAUUAAAUCAAAACCAUAAUUUAUUAUGUACAAUUGCACAAAAUUAACAUAAUUUAAGUGUGUCAUACUGCAUAUUAAAUUAAAGUUUACGUUUGACAUUAUAGAUAAUAUUCACGUGUAAAAUUUUGAGAUUUAUUCCCUUAAUUAAAGUAAUAUGUCAAAUAGAAUACUUGAACAAUCCUCCAUGUUGGCAAAGUUUAUGUACAGUAGUAGAAGCGAACUAAAUAAUUAGAAUAAAUCUAAAGUAUGGCUUACAUAUAAUUUAUUCACAAUGUGACUUAAACUUUGUCCUUCAAGAUUUCACGGUCUCAAUUUAUGUCUUAAAAUUUUAAGAUCAUUUUAGGUUUGUUAAAAAAUUAAAAGUUUAGAAAGUUAGAAUUGUUGCUUGAGGCGUGAAUAUCUUUAUUCUUUAGGAUAUUUGCGGAUUUACCACCUCUCAGGAUUUCGUUUGUAUCAUGCACAAUGAAAAAAUUGAAAAAAAAAAUUUCACAUUUGAAUGGAAUUGAGCUGUUAGGCUCAAGCCUCAUGUGCGCAUAUAUAUUCUCUUAUUUUGAGUCUUACAAGUUUAUAGUAAACCAAAUCUAUAUAAACAUCAUUUCAUUAGGUCAAUCUAAAAUAUGUUUAAUAUGUGUAAUUCUUUAAAAUAGAUGAAAACUUCAAAUAUGGUUUAGGUCAUUUUUAGAUUUGUCUUAUUUUAGGUUCAAAUCAUUCGAAUUUGAGGCUAAGUUUUUCAUGUCUAAUCAUUAUUGAUCCGAAUCAUUUUAGAUUUUGAUCAUUUUAAGUUCCAAUUAUUUUGUGAUCAAAUCAUUUCAAGUUUAGAUAAAUUUGGGUCGAUUCGAAUUUGACUUAAUUACGUAGUUAACUUUUUUUUAUAAUAAAUUGAGCUGAAUGAAAGUUAGAUUAGAAUUUAUUUAGUGUGCCUUUGUGUUUAAUUCGAAAUUUAAACAUCUCCCUUCGAAAUAAACAUGUUAAGACAAUUUUAUUUUAAAGACAAUAAUACAACAUAGUUGAUUUGGGAGAUAAACAUGUUAAUUUUUUAAUCCCAACCAAAAUUGUACAUAAUUCUUUUAUGUCAUAUUAAAUACAUGUAACGUCUUAUAAAAAUUGUCAAUAAAUUAUGCCUAGCGACAACGUUAUUCAACUCUAAUUUCAUUGUUAAUACCUAUUUCUAUUUUUCUUCUACUGUCUUCAACUUUAAAUAUAAAGGGAUUGAAAUCUUAAGAAUUGAGAUUUCUUUUCUCUGUAUUAGUGGACGUCUGAUUUUUUGUUUGAUUGUUUUUUUUUUACUGGAAUUGACACAUAUCUUUUCAGAUUUAUCAAUAUUUUUAAAAUUUAUUUAAGAUAUGUAUAUAAAUAUAUUACAAAUAUAAGAUAAAUGAAACUAAAUACAUUUCAAAUAUAAAAUAUUCAUUAAUAAAUUGAACAAAUAAAAAUUUAUCAUUCAAAUAAAUCUAAAAUUAUUAAUAACAAUCCAUCAUUUAAUAUGAAAUUUUAUGGAUUUAGCUCAUUUACUUAAUAAAAGAAGCUAAAAGGUGAACGAAUAUAUUUUUUCUUUGAUAAUCGGGUGAACGGUUUUUCUUAAUUAUAUUUUGAAUGUGAAAGUAUAUUCCAUUUUUUUAAAAACUUUACAUUCUGAUGUAACAUUUUUAAUUAGUCACGUUUCAAUUAAGUUUUUAGCAUAAUAGUAAAUAAUUAAAAGUUUAAUAUUUUUAAUAUUAUUCAUGCACAGGACGGUGCAUUAUGUUCUGGCAAGUGUGACAGGAAUUGAUCGGAAUGAGUUGGUGCAAUUGGUACGGACCGAAAUUUUCACCAGUGUAGAAAAAGCGUGUUGGGUGUUUCGCAAUGUUAUUGAAACCAAACUAAACAGACCAAGAACCGAUGAACCCGAGGACUAGAGCAAACUGCAGUUAAACAACAAAUCAUCAGCCGGUUAAGCCGUAUUUUAACCUUUUCUAAACUGGAAAUACGAAAAUUUCACUUCAAAUCCCUUGAGCUUUUGUCACACUUCUUCUCUGCACUCAAUGAAAUAAAACACAACAUAAAAAUAUAAGCACCAUUUCUUUUAUUACUUUUUCUACUAAAAUAAGUUUUUUUUUCUCAUAAAAAACCUAAGAUGGGGAGAGGAUUUUAAAAUUCAAAACCUUCGAAAUAGAUGAGUUUGAGGUUGUUAAUAUUAUUUUAUAUUUUUGAAUAGUAAAUUAAUUGUAUUAGUGGUUUAACCAAUUGGAUCGAGAAUUAAUGAUUUGAUUGAUUUGAGUUUGGGCUGCUCAUUACCUUGACUGCAUUUAUCAUUUAAUUCUUUUUUUAAUUAGCCAAACUCAUGUUCACAAUGGUAUAACAGUAAUUAAUGACUUCAUGGACAGAACAUCAAUAUAUAAAUACACAAACAAAUAUAAUGGGAAUUGGAGAACUCCAAUUUAUACAAACAAAUAUAAGUGUGCAAAUUCAAUACUCAUAAUAAAUACACAAAGAUGACUAAAAACAUUAUUAAACCAGAUCCAGUAUGCAGCAUACAAGAAAAGAGGGUAUUUCAAGGAGUAGAACGAGAAGGUGGUGGAGAAAAGGAAGGAAUAGAGGGAACUGCAGUUGGGAUUGAGGGAAUGCUUGGCAGAGGCGGCAGUCCUCUUGGCAAUGUGGUAGGAAGUGGAGGAAGCGCCCCAGGGUUUGGGAUAUUAGGGAAAGAUGGCAAUGGCGGAAAAGAGAAAGGAAUAGGGGGAAUUGCAGUUGGGAUUGUGGGGACUGAGGGAAUGCUUGGCAGAGGGGGCAGUCCUGUUGGGAAUGUGGUAGGAAGUGGAGGAAGCGCCCCAGGCCAUAAGAAUGAUGGUCGGGAUGGCGUUGGGAGAUUAGGGAAAGAUGGUAAACUUUGCGUUCGAGGCUGCUGCAGAAGGUGACGAGCUGCUACCCCAACAUCAAUGCCUGCAAAUGACAAAGCAAUCAAGAAUGCUAAAGCAAAGCAAUUGAAAGAGGCCAUUUUUGUUCAAAGAUUUUGAAACAAAUGAAGCAGAUGAAACGAAGUUCUUUAUCUGAAUAGUUGUGAGUGAGGAAAACAAAGCAUGGUAUUGAGGUUUAUAUAGGCAUUGGAGCAGUGAAUAGAAAUCCCCUGCCCCUAAACAAUGCUCCAUGCAUGCCCUCAAACCAAAAUAGCUCCACAUGUUUUUUAUUUUUUUCAUUUUAAUUUUUUUAAAUAAAAACUCUGUAAUGAUUUGAAUUAAUUUUUAACUUAUUAUCAACGUUUUUAUUUUUGUUUUAUUUUUAUUUUACAUUAAUUUUACCUAUUCUUUAAUUAAAAAAUUUAUAAUGACUUAGAGUUAAUUUGAGAGAGUUUUUUUUAUAAUUGGUCUUAUAAUAAAAUUUUACAAAGCAGAAACAAGUUCCACUGUGAAAACAUGAUCCUUAAAUUUUUGGAGAUAACCAUGUUAAUUUUUUAAUCCCAACCAAAAUUCGAAAUAAUUCUUUUAUGUCAUAUUAAAUACACGUAACGUCUUAUAAAAAUUGUCAAUAAAUUAUGCAUAGUGACAAGGUUAUUCAAAUCUAAUUUCAUUGUUAAUACCUAUUUUUAUUUUUCUUCUACUGUCUUCAACUUUAAAUAUAAAGGGAUUGAAAUUUUAAGAAUUGAGAUUUCUUUUCUCUGUAUUAGCGGACGUCUUAUUUUUUGUUUGAUUGUUUUUUUUACUGGAAUUGACACAUAUCUUUUCAGAUUUAUCAAUAUUUUUAAAAUUUAUUUAAGAUAUUAUUGGGAAUUAUCCAUAUUUAUGGAAAAUCAAAGAUAUGGGUAUCAAAUAUUGGAAAGUCAAAGAUAUGGGUAUCGAGAUAUUGGCAUAAUAAAAUCUGAGAUAUUUGCAAUAUAUGGUCCCUAAUUGUAAAGUGACUUUGCAAGUUGAUCCCUGAACCUCAACUAUAAAUAGGCAUAACCAUCUCUCAUUCUGUAUCUCAAACUUGCCAUUCUCUACUUAAGGCAUUGUUUUCUCUCUCUCUCUUUGUAAAUUCUCACUUGUAUUUUGGAGUGAAAUAUAUUUGGUAGUGCCCGAGGACGUAGGCAAAAUUUGCUGAACCUCAUUAAAUUCUUGUGUUCUUUAUUGUAUUAUUCUGCAUGAAUUGUGUGUGUGAUUGUAGUGAUUUAUUGUGCUAUUAAAUUACGAUUGAGGGAUAUUCUGGCUAGGAAAGACCUGGUACUUAAGUGAUCCUUGUGAUCCACCUCUCUUUCCUGGGAAUUGAACUUAGUGUGAUUUUUUAGUACAAUAAUUUUACUCUUUUACACGCUUCCGCACAACAAUUGGUAUCAGAGCUAGAUUCGUACUUGAGGAAUACGAUCGUUCACGGCACUGUUCACGUACUGUAGUUGGGAUUGAGGAGAAAAAGAUGGAAAAGUCAUCGUCAAAGACUACUGUGACCAAUGCGAAAUUUGAAGUAGAGAAAUUUGAUGGUACCAAUAAUUUUGGUAUGUGGCAAUGUGAGAUCCUGGAUGUCUUAUGUCAACAAGAGCUGGAUAUAGCCCUUGAAGAAAAACCUGACAAGAUGGAUGACAAGGAGUGGGCCAAGAUCAAUAGACAGGCAUGUGGAACAAUUCGCCUAUGUUUGGCCAAAGAGCAGAAGUACUCUGUCAUGAGGGAGACAUCAGCGAAGAAGUUGUGGGAUACACUGGAAGAAAAGUUUCUAACAAAAAGUCUUGAAAAUAGGCUUUAUAUGAAAAAAAAACUUUAUCGAUUCACGUAUGCACCCGGUAUGUCGAUGAAUGACCAUGUGAACUCAUUCAAUAAAAUUUUAGCAGACUUGCUAAAUUUGGAUGAGAAAUUUGAAGAUGAAGACAAGGCAUUAUUGUUGUUGAAUUCCCUUCCUGAUGAAUAUGAUCAUCUUACCACCACAUUGCUUCAUGGGAAGGACACGAUCACAUUUGAUGCAGUCUGUAGUGCGUUGUAUAGAUCUGAGACUCGAAAGAAAGAUAAAAGAGAUCACAGAGAUACAACCGCAGAAGUCUUAACAGUAAGAGGUCGUUCACACAGUAGCAAAUCUGGUAGAAGGGGAAAGUCCAAAGGGAGACCCGCCAAAGAUGAAUGUGCCUUUUGCCGUGAAAAAGGGCAUUGGAAAAAGAAUUGUCCUAAGCUACAAAAGGGCAAGGCUAUUUCUAAUGCAUGUGUAGCGGAGCAUGAUGAGGAGUCAGACUUUAGCUUGGUUGGCAUGGCAAUGGCAUGUCAAACGGAUGAGUGGAUUUUGGAUUCAGGAUGUACUUACCAUUUGUGCCCUAAUAAGGACUGGUUUUCUAGUCUUAAAGAGCUAGAAGGUGGAAUUGUUCUUAUGGGAAAUGAUAGUGCUUGUAAGACAAUGGGAGUGGGUACAGUCCAAUUGAAGAAUCACGACGGCUCAAUCCAAGUCUUGACAGAUGUUCGCUACGUACCUAGCCUGAAGAAAAAUCUCAUCUCAUUAGGUGCCCUAGAAUCUAAAGGGCUCACAAUCACUUUGAGAGAUGGAUUACUAAAAGUAGUAGCUGGGCAACUGACGGUGAUGAAAGGCACAAGAAGAAAUAACUUGUAUUUUUUAAAUAGAAGUACAGUUAUUGGAUCAACAUCAACAGUUUCUACAAAAGAUGUAGAUUCAGAGGCUACCAGAUUAUGGCAUAUGCGAUUGGGACAUGCUGGUGAAAAAGCUUUGCAGACAUUGGUGAAGCAAGGCUUAUUGAAAGGUGCAAAUUCUUGCAAAAUGGAAUUCUGUGAACAUUGUGUUCUGGGCAAGCAGAAGAGGGUAAAAAUUGGUCCAGCAAUUCACAAUACGAAAGGAAUUCUGGACUACGUUCACAGUGAUGUGUGGGGACCUACCAAAGUAGCUUCUUUGGGAGGUAUGCACUAUUUUGUUACUUUUGUUGAUGAUUAUUCAAGAAAAGUAUGGGUGUAUCUAAUGAAAAGAAAAAGUGAAGUUUUGGAUGCAUUUCUGAAAUGGAAGAAGAUGGUGGAGACUCAGACUGGUCGAAAGGUCAAACGACUUCGAUCAGAUAAUGGUACUGAGUACAAAAACGAUCCAUUUCUACAAGUACGCCAAGAUGAGGGCAUUGUGCGACACUUCACUAUUCGGGAUACACCACAGCAAAAUGGGGUGGCAGAACGAAUAAAUCGAACUAUACUGGAGAAAGUUCGAUGUAUGUUGUCCAAUGCUGGAUUGGGCAAAGAAUGUUGGGCUGAGGCAGUUACAUAUGCGUGCCAUCUAAUUAACUGUUUGCCAUCAGUUGCAAUAAAUGGAAAAACUCCUAUGGAGAUGUGGACUGGUAAAUCUGCUACUGAUUAUGAUUCUUUGCAUGUAUUUGGUUCCACUGCAUAUUAUCAUGUAAAAGAAUCUAAGUUAGACCCAAGAGCAAAGAAAGCAUUAAUCUUGGGUAUAACUGAUGGAGUAAAAGGAUAUCGUCUCUGGUGUCCUGAUACAAGGAAGAUUGUUUUCAGUAGAGAUGUGACUUUUGAUGAAUCAACCAUGUUGAAGUACAAGGAUUCACAAAAGGAUGACAAAACCAGUAGCACUUUGUAGCAGGUGGAGCUUGAAAAGGUUAACGAUGAUCCAGCUAAUAUUGAAGGGACAAAUGAUGAAGAGGUUCCUACCCAAGAAUCUCUACAGCAACAAGAUUCAAUUGCAUAUAGAAGGCCAAGAAGAGAGAUUCGUAAGCCUGCUCGCUUUGAUGAUAUAAUGGCCUAUGCACUUCCAAUUACAGAUGAUGAUGUUCCUUCUACUUACACAGAAGUAAUAAGUAACCCUGAUGGUGUAAAGUGGAAGCAAGCAAUGAAUGAAGAAAUGCAGUCUCUUCAUAAAAAUAAGACCUAGGAGUUGGUGGCACUACCCAAGGGAAAGAAGGCAAUUGGAUGCAAAUGGGUAUAUGCAAAGAAGGAAGGAUUUCCUAAUAAAAAUGAAAUUCGAUACAAGGCUAGAUUAGUAGCAAAGGGUUACGCUCAGAAAGAAGGAAUAGACUACAAUGAAGUGUUUUCUCCAGUUGUGAAGCAUUCGUCUAUUCGGAUCUUGCUAGCCUUGGUUGCGCAAUAUGAUCUUGAACUAGUUCAGCUUGAUGUGAAGACCGCGUUUUUACACGGUGAUUUGGAAGAGGAAAUCUAUAUGACUCAGCCAGAUGGAUUCAAGGUUGCUGGAAAAGAAAAUUGGGUUUGCAAACUGACAAAGUCGCUUUAUGGAUUGAAGCAAUCUCCAAGGCAGUGGUACAAGCGAUUUGAUCAGUUCAUGAAAGGGCAAAGGUACACAAGAAGUAAAUUUGAUCAUUGCGUGUAUUUUCAGAAGCUACAAGAAGGAACUUUCAUAUACUUUCUCUUAUAUGUUGAUGAUAUGCUAAUAGCAUCUAAGAGCAAAGUUGAGAUUGAAAGAUUGAAGACUCAACUCAAUCUCGAGUUUGAGAUGAAAGAUUUAGGAGAAGCUAAAAAGAUUCUCGGCAUGGAAAUUUGGAGAGAUAGAGCUCAUGAUAGAGUUAGCUUGUCUCAGAAGCAGUAUUUGAAAAAGGUACUACAGCAGUUUGGCAUGAACGAGCAGACAAAACCUGUAAGUACCCCGUUGGCUUCUCAUUUCAAGCUUUCUGCACAACUAUCUCCUUCGACGAAUACGGAACGAGAAUACAUGUUGCAAGUUCCGUAUUCUAAUGCAGUGGGUAGCUUGAUGUAUGCAAUGGUGUGUACAAGACCCGACAUUUCACAGGCAGUUAGUAUAGUGAGCAGGUAUAUGCAUAAUCCUGGAAAAGGACAUUGGCAAGCUGUGAAAUGGAUUCUACGGUAUAUUCAUAAGACCAUGGAUAUUGGAUUACUGUUCAAGCAGGAUACUACACUUGGUAAAGGUGUUGUUGGGUACGUUGAUUCUGAUUAUGCCGGUGAUUUGGACAAACGAAGAUCAACCACUGGUUAUGUGUUUACUCUUGCUGAAGGACCAAUAAGUUGGAAGUCUACACUGCAGUCUACAGUUGCGUUGUCAACCACAGAAGCUGAAUACAUGGCUGUAACAGAGGCUGUAAAGGAAGCUAUUUGGUUACAAGGUAUGGUUAAAACCUUGGGAUUGGUCCAGGAGCAUAUUAAUGUGUAUUGUGAUAGUCAAAGUGCUAUUCAUUUAGCAAAGAAUCAAGUCUAUCAUGCACGUACAAAGCAUAUCGAUGUACGUUUCCACUUUGUGCGGGAAAUUAUUGAUGAGGGGAAAAUUCACCUUCAAAAGAUUAAGACUGCAGAUAAUCCCGCAGAUAUGAUGACCAAGGUGGUAACAACAAUCAAGUUCGAACAUUGUUUGAACUUGAUCAAUAUUCUGCAUGUUUAACAGUUGAAGAAGGCACUAUCAAGUGUUGUUGACAAAGGCAGAGAGAAUUGUGUGAAGAUAAGAUUACUCGAAUCAAAUCUUCAAGGUGGAGAUUAUUGGGAAUUAUCCAUAUUUAUGGAAAAUCAAAGAUAUGGGUAUCAAAUAUUGGAAAGUCAAAGAUAUGGGUAUCAAAUAUUGGAAAGUCAAAGAUAUGGGUAUCGAGAUAUUGGCAUAAUAAAAUCUGAGAUAUUUGCAAUAUAUGGUCCCUAAUUGUAAAGUGACUUUGCAAGUUGAUCCCUGAACCUCAACUAUAAAUAGGCAUAACCAUCUCUCAUUCUGUAUCUCAAACUUGCCAUUCUCUACUUAAGGCAUUGUUUUCUCUCUCUCUCUUUGUAAAUUCUCACUUGUAUUUUGGAGUGAAAUAUAUUUGGUAGUGCCCGAGGACGUAGGCAAAAUUUGCUGAACCUCGUUAAAUUCUUGUGUUCUUUAUUGUAUUAUUCUGCAUGAAUUGUGUGUGUGAUUGUAGUGAUUUAUUGUGCUAUUAAAUUACGAUUGAGGGAUAUUCUGGCUAGGAAAGACCUGGUACUUAAGCGAUCCUUGUGAUCCACCUCUCUUUCCUGGGAAUUGAACUUAGUGUGAUUUUUUAGUACAAUAAUUUUACUCUUUUACACGCUUCCGCACAACAGAUAUGUAUAUAAAUAUAUUACAAAUAUAAGAUAAAUGAAACUAAAUACAUUUCAAAUAUAAAAUAUUCAUUAAUAAAUUGAACAAAUAAAAAUUUAUCAUUCAAAUAAAUCUAAAAGUAUUAAUAACAAUCCAUCAUUUAAUAUGAAAUUUUAUGGAUUUAGCUCAUUUACUUAAUAAAAGAAGCUAAAAGGUGAACGAAUAUAUUUUUUCUUUGAUAAUCAGGUGAACGGUUUUUUCUUAAUUAUAUUUUGAAUGUGAAAGUAUAUUCCAUUUUUUAAAAAACUUUACAUUCCGAUGUAACAUUUUUAAUUAGUCACGUUUCAAUUAAGUUUUUAGCAUAAUAGUAAAUAAUUAAAAGUUUAAUAUUUUUAAUAUUAUUCAUGCACAGGACGGUGCAUUAUGUUCUGGCAAGUGUGACAGGAAUUGAUCGGAAUGAGUUGGUGCAAUUGGUACGGACCGAAAUUUUAACCAGUGUAGAAAAAGCGUGUUGGGUGUUUCGCAAUGUUAUUGAAACCAAACUAAACAGACCAAGAACCGAUGAACCCGAGGACUAGAGCAAGCUGCAGUUAAACUACAAAUCAUCAGCUGGUUAAGCCGUAUUUUAACAUUUUCUAAACUGGAAAACUGAAAAUUUCACUUCAAAUCGCUUGAGCUUUUGUCACACUUCUUCUCUGCACUCAAUGAAAUAAAACACAGCAUAAAAAUAUAAGCACCAUUUCUUUUAUUACUUUUUCUACUAAAAUAAGUUUUUUUUUUCUCGUAAAAAACCUAAGAUGGGGAGAAGAUUUUAAAAUUCAAAACCUUCGAAAUAUAUGAGUUUGAGGUUGUUAAUAUUAUUUUAUAUUUUUGAAUAGUAAAUUAAUUGUAUUGGUGGUUUAACUUAUUGGAUCGAGAAUUAAUGAUUUGAUUGAUUUGAGUUUGUGCUGCUCACUAUCUAGAUUGCAUUUAUCAUUUAAUUCUUUUUUUAAUUAGCCAAAAUCAUGUUAACAAUUCAUGGACCGAACAUCAAUAUAUAAAUACACAAACAAAUAUAAUGGGAAUUGGAGAACUCCCAUUUAUGCAAACAAAUAUAAGUGGACAAAUUCAAUACUCAUAAUAAAUACACAAAGAUGACUAAAAACAUUAUUAAACCAGAUCCAGUAUGCAGCAUACAAGAAAAGGGGGUAUUUCAAGGAGUAGAACGAGAAGGUGGUGGAGAAAAGGAAGGAAUAGAGGGAACUGCAGUUGGGAUUGAGGGAAUGCUUGGCAGAGGCGGCAGUCCUCUUGGCAAUGUGGUAGGAAGUGGAGGAAGCGCCCCAGGGUUUGGGAGAUUAGGGAAAGAUGGCAAUGGUGGAAAAGAGAAAGGAAUAGGGGGAAUUGCAGUUGGGAUUGUGGGGACUGAGGGAAUGCUUGGCAGAGGGGGCAGUCCUGUUGGGAAUGUGGUAGGAAGUGGAGGAAGUGCCCCAGGCCAUGAGAAUGAUGGUCGGGAUGGCGUUGGGAGAUUAGGGAAAGAUGGUAAACUUUGCGUUCGAGGCUGCUGCAGAAGGUGACGAGCUGCUACCCCAACAUCAAUGCCUGCAAAUGACAAAGCAAUCAAGAAUGCUAAAGCAAAGCAAUUGAAAGAGGCCAUUUUUGUUCAAAGAUUUCGAAACAAAUGAAGCAGAUGAAACGAAGUUCUUUAUCUGAAUAGUUGUGAGUGAGGAAAACAAAGCAUGGUAUUGAGGUUUAUAUAGGCAUUGGAGUAGUGAAUAGAAAUCCCCUGCCCUUAAACAAUGCCCCAUGCAUGCCCCCAAACCAAAUUAGCGCCACAUGUUUUUUAUUUUUUCCAUUUUAAUUGUAGUUCAUUUUUUAAAUAAAAAAUUUAUAAUGAUUUGAAUUAAUUUUUAACUUAUUAUCAACGUUUUUAUUUUUGUUUUAUUUUUAUUUUACAUUAAUUUUACCUAUUAUUUAAUUAACAAAUUUAUAAUGACUUAGAGUUUAUCUAAUAGAGGUUUUUUUUUAUAAUCGGUCUUAUGAAAAAAUUUUAUAUGGUGGGAACAAGUCCCACAGUGACAACAUGAUCCUUCAAUAUUUGGUGGUGGCAUGCCUUUAGUCAAAGGAUCAGCUAACAACUGCUCAAUGCUAAUGUGCUCAAUGACCAAUUUCUUUUCUUUAACAUGUUCCCUCAUGCCUAGGUACUUAAAGUCGAUAUGUUUACUUCGACUUCCACUUCUUCCGUUCUUAGCCAUAAAGACAGCAGUUGAAUUGUCACAAUAUAUGAAAUAAUCAAAACCCAUAAUGACUCAGCCCAAAAAUCUCGAGCUUCAAACCCAAAUUAAAUUAAAUCAAAACCAUAAUUUAUUAUGUACAAUUGCACAAAAUUAAUAUAAUUUAAGUGUGUCAUACUGCACAUUAAAUUAAAAUUUACGUUUGACAUUAUAGAUAAUAUUCACGUGUAAAAUUUUGAGAUUUAUUCCCUUAAUUAAAGUAAUAUGUCAAAUAGAAUACUUGAACAAUCCUCCAUGUUGGCAAAGUUUAUGUACAGUAGUAGAAGCGAACUAAAUAAUUAGAAUAACUCUAAAGUAUGGCUUACAUAUAAUUUAUUCACAAUGUGACUUAAACUUUGUCCUUCAAGAUUUCACGGUCUCAAUUUAUGUCUUAAAAUUUUAAGAUUAUUUUAGGUUUGUUAAAAAAUUAAAAGUUUAGAAAGUUAGAAUUGUUGCUUGAGGCGUGAAUAUCUUUAUUCUUUAGGAUAUUUGCGGAUUUACCAUCUCUCGGGAUUUUGUUUGUAUCAUGCACAAUGAAAAAAUUGAAAAAAAAAAUUUCACAUUUGAAUGGAAUUGAGCUGUUAGGCUCAAGCCUCAUGUGCGCAUAUAUAUUCUCUUAUUUUGAGUCUUACAAGUUUAUAGUAAACCAAAUCUAUAUAAACAUCAUUUCAUUAGGUCAAUCUAAAAUAUGUUUAAUAUGUGUAAUUCUUUAAAAUAGAUGAAAACUUCAAAUAUGGUUUAGGUCAUUUUCAGAUUUGUCUUAUUUUAGGUUCAAAUCAUUCGAAUUUGAGGCUAAGUUUUUCAUGUCUAAUCAUUAUUGAUCCGAAUCAUUUUAGAUUUUGAUCAUUUUAAGUUCCAAUUAUUUUGUGAUCAAAUCAUUUCAAGUUUAGAUAAAUUUGGGUCGAUUCGAAUUUGACUUAAUUACGUAGUUAACUUUUUUUAUAAUAAAUUGAGCUGAAUGAAAGUUAGAUUGGAAUUUAUUUAGUGUGCCUUUGUGUUUAAUUCGAAAUUUAAACAUCUCCCUUCGAAAUAAACAUGUUAAGACAAUUUUAUUUAAACGACAAUAAUACAACAUAGUUGAUUUGGGAGAUAAACAUGUUAAUUUUUUAAUCCCAACCAAAAUUGUACAUAAUUCUUUUAUGUCAUAUUAAAUACAUGUAGCGUCUUAUAAAAAUUGUCAAUAAAUUAUGCCUAGCGACAACGUUAUUCAACUCUAAUUUCAUUGUUAAUACCUAUUUCUAUUUUUCUUCUACUGUCUUCAACUUUAAAUAUAAAGGGAUUGGAAUUUUAAGAAUUGAGAUUUCUUUUCUCUGUAUUAGUGGACGUUUGAUUUUUUGUUUGAUUGUUUUUUUUACUGGAAUUGACACAUAUCUUUUCAGAUUUAUCAAUAUUUUAAAAUUUAUUUAAGAUAUGUAUAUAAAUAUAUUACAAACGUAAUGGCCCAAUAUUGCCCGGCCCGAUAAUAAAAUAUGAUAAAAUAAAUAAAGGUCCAAUGUCCAGCUUUUACAAACCCAAAAUCAAUACGGCCCAAUUAGCCUAAACCCAAUUAGCUUUAACCCAAACUCUAGCCUAGCCCAAAACCCAAUUUAGCCCAAGACUCUUCCCAAACCCCGAAAACCCUAGCAGCAACAGGAGCCUCCUUCCAGCGCUGCAACCAUAAGCUGGGCUUCUCCACGCACACACUGCCACGCACAUCUCUGUACGACCACCUCCAUACCUCCAGGCUGGCCGAAUACCUGCAAAAAAAAACGCACGGAAACAACAGCAAACAGAAAAACAACAGCAUAGAGGUGAAUUUUUAAUUAUUUUUUCAUUUUAUUUUUUGUAAAUCGGGAUAUAAGAAAGCCAUUCGAAUACUGUAACGGGAUUUACGCAUUCAAUAUACAAAGAAAUUGAGAAUACAAAAGAAUCAAAAAAGCAGAGAAAGGUGAUUUUCUGGGUUUUUUUAUUCCUUUCUAUCUUGUUGGUUACUUGAUUUUUUUUCUUUACUUUUUUAAUUUGUACAUUCAUCAAUCGUUGUUUAAAAAAGAAAUAGGAAAAUGAAAGGGAGGGAAACGUACCUGGUAGCGCGAUCCUGGCUCUCUCCGGCGUCAUUGGAGCAGGGGCUGGGAUCAAUGACUGCUCGAGUACCUUCAAUACCCAGAACGGCGCUGAGUUUUUUUUUCCGUUUAGGUUUUUGUUUUAAUGUAAAGAUAGGUUUUUAGGGUUUAUUUAGUUUUAAGCGAAGGAAUUAAAAUGUCGAUGUUUAAAGUCGAUGCAAUGACUUUGAAACAGCGUCGUUUUAGAGACCAGAUCCGAACGGUGACCCGAUCCGAGAAGGAUCCGUGCAUUAUGGAUCAUUUGGUCUAUUUGUUCAAUAGAUCCAUCUAUGUUUAAUGGAAUUGCGAUUUGAUUUCUUUUAAUUUUUUGUAAUUCGUACUGCAUAUUUUGUUCUGUUUUCAUUUAUCUGUUUUCAUUUAGAUCCAGAUUGAAACGGUAUCGUUUGCUGCAUUUGACUUUGAUUAUUCUAAGCUUUUAGGUUUAAUUGUCGAUUCAGUCCUCCAAUUUUGAAAUAAAUUUUAAUUUAACAUGAGUUUAGCCUUUUAAAAAAAAAGAAAUGAAUAGCAUUUUUUUAAUUAUAAUUAAUCCUAUUUUCGUACAUUAUAAAAUCUAACAUUAUUUGUACUAUUUGAUUUUGAUGUUUUUAAAUCUACAAUUAUUAUAACUUAAGAUAUAAUAGAUCAUUGUUUUAGUUUAUAUCCUAUACUUUAAAUUUAUUAUAUAAUAAUAUUUUGAAUCUACCAUAUUUAUUUAAUUUUGUCUUUUCCUUUUGGUUCCAUUUUAAGUCCCGAUUUUAAAUUUAUUAAUAUUUUCAUUAUAAUUGUUUUUAUUACUCUUCUAAAUUGUUUUAUUAUAUUUAAUUUUGUCUUCAAAAAGUGUUUUUUAAAACAAAUUAAUUCUUAAUUUUAAUUCAUUUUCUAACAUUAUUUUGGUAUUUAGUAUGAUAUUAUUCUCAAAUUUAUUAUUAGUACAUUUUUUAAAAAUAAUACAUUAUUUGUUUAAAUUAUUAUCAAUAUGUUUUAAUUUUAUCAAUAUUAUUUUAAAAAUAUAUAUGAUUUAUAUGAAAUUAUUCUAGUAUAUAUGUAUAUAGAUUACAUCAUUAACUUUGGAUUAACCUCUUUUACAUAAUUUUUUAAAAAUGUUUUAUUCCUUAAACCUUCUUUAUUUUAUUCGUUUUAUAGGUUGCUAAAUUAUUAAUAUGGAUGUUUGUAUGACAUGAUUAAGAUCAAGGUUUAUAUUUUCCUAUUAUUUGUUUAAUUGCUUCUAGUUUAAGUUUAAGUUGUUAUUUAUCUUUUAUAUAUCGUUAUUCAAUCAUGUUUCAUUUGUAAGAGUUGAAUUUUAUUAAAGCAUCAUAAUUCCUAAAAAAGCUUGGUGUUUAAUAGUUCUCGAGAGAAUUGUGCCCUAACUUACUGGGCUUCAAUUCUUCUCGAUGAAUUUAUAUCAUCAAGUAUCCAUUUUAUAUAAUUUUAAAAUAAAAUUCUUUAGAUUUCAAAAUGUGGGAUCCUAACUUACUGGAUACGACAUUUUGUUAUCUCGAUUUUAAAAUAAAGGUAAUAUUUGAUGUUUAAGAAUUUCGAGAAAUUGAACCCUAACUUACUAGAUUCUGAUUUCUCGAUUGACUUAAAUAGUCAAAUAUCCUUCUUAAAACAUGUUUAAAAUUUUUUAAAAAGGGACGAACUUAACUUCGAAGAUUGAACUGUUGCACUCUAACUCACUGAGUGUGGCAAUUUGUUUCUUUGAAAUGGGUCCGUCCACUUAACCAAUUCAAUUGUUUAAGCUUUCAUUUCAUGGGAUCGUAUUUAAAAAUAUUUUCAAGUUUCGACACUAAGACAUUAAAUAACCAAUUCGGUACCAAUUUUGGGCGUUACAAGGGUGCUAACCCUUCCUCAUGCGUAACUGACUUUCGAACUUAUCUUCUCAAAAUUCGCAGACCAAAAAAAUUAUUUUCAUGGUGAUCCGAUCACACCUCAACAAAAAUUGGUGGCGACUCCAAUUUUCAUUUUUUAAAGUCGACUACUAAUAAAUUUUUGUGUUCAAAAAAUGGUUUCGAUAGCUUGGCGACUCCACUGGGGACUAUAAGAGAGUCAAGCCGAAAAAUCGAUUGUUUCCUGUCUUAUCGUCGAAAAUUAAAAAUUUGAUUUGAAAAAUUACGAUCCUUUCUUUGCAUUUGUUUGUAUGAUUACGGUUUUAUACCUUGGCAUCAUAUUGCAUAAAGACUGUUUAGUCUUACCCUUUAAGUGGGAGUGAGUAGCUAUUCCUUCAUGAGGUUUUCACCUCCGUACAGGAUAGUGAAUCACUUUCGGGAUACAUCCGUACCUAUGUCUUUGUGAGAUUUUCAUCUCCGUGCAGCCAUAGGGAAAUGUAUUCCCCCGAACCAAACUCGGUCUGUAUGAGCCUAUAAUGGGUGAAGAUCGAGGAAUCUGUUGGUUCGGGUACCUCAACUUUAGAACCAAACCCCAUAUAGUGGACUUAGAAGCUCAACCUAGUUAGAACUAUUCCAAUCUCUCGUGAUUGCCUAGAUAGAUGAUUGUGUUUCUUAUACUUGAUUUGAAUUUUGUUUUUGUGUUGUACUGACUUGUUUAUGUUUUGUUGAUAUUGUUGCAUGUCACUGCAUAGUUCAAAGAGUGUCGAUUCAAGUUCAGUUACUAAAUUAGAAAACCGUUAUGGCAAACGAAUUUCUGGAUAAAGUGGAGGAUAACGCCAUUGUCAGUAUAUGGUCAGAGAAUGUGCAAUUGGAAAAAGGAGACAAUUUAUCUAAGGGAUACGUGUCAGAGCUUUGGGACUACACUCGUAUUAGUGUGACACAAAAUAGCCUUCAGGAGUUAAAUGAGAUUUGGGAUCGGUGGAAUGAUGAAACCAAGCAGUUGUUCUACUCUAAUUACGGGGACUUGCAGUACUUACUUAAAAUCAAGGUGGAUGAAAGACUGUUUCGCGCUCUCGCUCAAUAUUGGAAUCCUGCAUAUAGUUGUUUUACUUAUGGGAACGUAGAUUUGGUGCCCACAGUGGAGGAAUAUACAGCUUUACUACACUGCCCUAGGCUUCAGGUUGAUAAAGCAUAUUCUAGAGCCGCAUAUGUCCCAGCGUUUUGGAAGAAAUUAAUGAGUAUUACCGGAAUGAGCGAAUAAUGGAUCACGGCCAAGAUCAAACAGAAGGGCGAGUGUAAAUGUAUCCCAUGGAGGAAUUUGCGAGACUUGAUCCUAGCACAUCCUGAUGGGAAAAAGAAAGUUGAUGUGUUUGCUUUGAGUAUCUACGGGUUAGUGAUUUUCCCUAGAGCAUUGGGGCAUGUUAACGAAGUGGUUUCAGAUCUUUUUGAUCGGUUGGGUAAAGGGGUCAAGUCUGUUCCUGCGAUUUUGGCUGAAACGUUUAGAUCUUUGAAUGCGUGUAGGCAUGCUGGUGAAGGCAGAUUUAUAGGUUGUGCGCAAUUGUUGAUAGCUUGGUUCCAUAGUCAUUUCUUGAAGGUCGACAAAGUUUCGUAUCGGGUUUUCUCUGGGCAUUACUCCCCGUUAAAAGAGAUAGUGGCUACGCCAAGAAAGGACGAUAUUUCAGAAGAAAAUUGGAUAGCAAUUCUGUAAAAUCUUCAAGAGGAUGAUGUGGAGUGGAGAGCUCAUUGGUUGAUUCCUGAUGGAAUUCUCUACCGUUGUGAAAGCUUUGACUGGGUUUCGUUGCUUGGGAUUUGGGGAGCCGUCGGGUAUGCACCUUUGCUGGUCCUAAGGCAAUACAAUUCAAGACAGUUUGUGCCGGCAAUGUAUGGUUUAGCUCAAUGUGAGUUCUUGUACCGAGGAGACAAUUACAAGAAAAAGGUGAAAGAAAUUUCUCAGGCUUGUAAUGAGGUUCAUAGGAUGAAAAGGCUAGCUAUGGGUUCGAUGACAACUCCAGAGUAUGGUGAGUGGCGACGUAAAAUAAUUAAUGAUAGCAUUCUGGAGUUAAACUUGGAGGGUGUUCGACUAAUGGAAGAGUACCUACAAGUGAUCCCAUCAGAGUUGGAGAUUAUAAAACAAGAUUUUGAAAAGAGGAAUUUAGAACUUGAAAAGAAAAUAGAGCGGUUGGAAGAAGAGAAGAUGCAUUUGAGGCUAGAUAUUGACGUCCAAAAGUUAAAAGCUGAAAAAUUAAAGAAGUGGAAGAAUAAAGUAGAGGAGGAUCUGGAUAGCUUAAAGACGGACUACAAAAGGCUACGAGUAUCAAUGAGAACUGCUGGGCUGGGAAAGAAUUCAGAGCAGUGGCGACAGGAGAUCUAGGAAGAAAGAAACAAAGUCGAUCGGUGGGAAAGAAAGUCCUGGGAGGCUCAAGUUCAGAACGAGACCUUAGAACGGCAUGUGUUAGAAACUCAAAACUAUUAAGUGGACUUAAAAGCUAGAAUAGCAGAACUAAAGAGAUCACUUGCUGCGUAUAGAAGUCGUAAUUCUGUAGUGGAAUUAAAGAUAAGUCUGUGCAAGAUUGAAGAAAUGAAAAAGAGGAUAGAAGAAUUGGAGUAUGCAUUACAAGGCUGUAAAAAACGGAUCGAAUCCUUGGAAGGAAAUGAAGAGCGUUAGAGGGAGCAAAUUUAUCAUUCGCAGAAUCAAAUUUAGAAUAGAGAUUACAUUAUGGGCAGAGCUAUUGCUCAGAUUCGGGAGGUAGGUGAUCAUUUGCAAACAAUGGCAAUUCAGGCUGACGUGUUAAACGUAAAGUAUGAACUGGAAUCAGAUCGAGGGCAGGAGUUAGCUUCGCUGUUGAAGGAAGUUAAAGCUUUGAGUAUUAGGGCAAAGGCAUACUUGUAAUUCAUUUUAUGUAAAGAAUUUUGUUUAUCAAUAAAUUUUUCUAAAGGAAAUUGGAUCAGAAUCGACGCUCUUUUUGCAUUGAUUUCAUGCAUUUGCAUUACAUGACAUCAUAUGCAUUCAAGACUAUUAAGAAGAGGUUUUAAUUGGUUAAAAUUGUGCUUCAGUUAAUCUGGAAACCAGUAAAAAUUCAUCAAUCAAGCACCACUACGGUACCCGUGCGAAAUCAAAAAUUAUGGAUCAAAGAUUGGAAAAGCUUGAGCGCUUUCAAAAGGAAAUGCAAGAUCAAAUGAAAGAACAAAUGGAAAAGAUUCAGCAUGACAUGAUACAAAAGAUGCAGGAGUCUUAAAAUGACAUGAUGACUAAGUUGACGCAAUUAAUAACCAGAGGAGUAGAUAAAGGGAAAGGUCCUGUGAUUUGUAAUGAAGAAGAAAACAAUGAUGAACCACUUUUUCCUCCAGGUUUUACGCCUCCGCACGCGCAAGUUUAGACUGAACUGCAUCCGCGGAGACCUUCUGUUUCGAUUAGGCCUCAGCAUUUUCAAGGGGAUGUUUCAAUGCCGAAGACCUUUCAGGUCGGAUCUGGCUCUAAUCUUGGUGAUAAUUUGAAUAAUAUUGUUGUCCCGUAUUUCGAUAAAGUAGCUGAGAAGGAUAAGGUGAAGGAAGAGUUUCCAAAGCAGUUUGAGGAGAAAUAGAAAUGGAUUGAAGAGAAAUUUAGAACGAUGGAAAGCAUUGAAAGCUAUGGUGGAAUAGAUGAAAAAAAUCUGAGUCUGGUUUCGAAUUUGGUACUUUAUUACAAGUUUAAGAUGUCAGAAUUUGAGAAAUACAAUGGGACCAGUUGCCCUGAGGCCCAUAUCACCAUGUUCUGUAGGAGAAUAACGGGGUAUAUUAAUAAUGACCAAUUAUUAAUACAUUGCUUUCAGGAUAGUCUUACAAGGGCGGCGUCAAAAUGGUAAAAUCAGCUGAGCCGAACCAAAAUCGCUACUUGGAGGGAUUUGGCACAGGCUUUCAUGAGACAGUACAAUCAUGUAUUACAAAUGACGCCUAAUCGAAUAACUUUACAGAAUUUGGAGAAAAAAUCAAACGAAAGCUUCAGACAGUAUGCGCAGCGAUGGAGGGAAAUCGCAGUUCAGGUUCAGUCAGCACUUGUGGAAAAGAAAAUGACAAUGCUUUUUAUCAAUACAUUGAAAGCCCCGUUCAUUACUCACAUGUUGGGAAGUGCUUCAAAGAACUUCUCGGAUAUAAUCAUGAAUGGUGAAAUGAUUGAGCAUGCUAUUAAGAGUGGAAUAAUAGAUGGAGGGGAGAAUAAUAGAAGGACAGCCCCAAAGAAAAGAGAAAAUGAAGUGAGCAAUGUGAGCGGAUACGGCAGGUCAAUUACGGUUAAUCAACCAGGAAAGGCAGUUGCUAAUCAAUAAAGCUCAUCAAGACAAGAAGUAGGAGGGAGGUAAAACACUAAAAAACCCUAGUUUACGCCAAUUUCGAUGUCAUACGAGGAGUUAUAUCAGAAUUUAUUUAAUGCAUAUGGUGUUUCCCCUCAUUAUUUGACCCCUUUACAACCCCCUUAUCCCAAAUGGUACGAUAUAAAUGCACAAUGUGACUAUCAUGCGGGAAUCUCGGGGCAUUCAAUAGAGAAUUGCAUAACUUUCAAGAAGGUAGUGGAAAAACUCAUCCGCAUGAGUGUUGUCAAAUUUGAUGACUCACCUAACGUAGAAAAUCCGUUACCUAAUCAUGCUGAUAAGGGAGUGAAUAUGAUGGGUGAAAGUAUGGGAGAAAAAGUCAAGAAUGACAUCGGUGAAGUAAAAACUCCAUUGAAACAAGUCUGGAAAGAGAUGGUGAAAAGAGGACUAGUCAUUUCAGAUUUUGAGGAAGAAGAUGAGGUUGAAAAAUAUUGUGAAUUCCACCGUGAAGUAGGACAUGAGAUUCAAGAAUGUGAAGAAUUUAAAGCUCUGGUCCAAAGCAUGAUGGAUAACAAGGAAAUGAAGUUCUAUGAGGAAACAGAGGAAGAAAGAAGCAUAUGCGCGUCGGAAUCAACAACGAAGAUUUCAAAAAUAAAUCAUCCUGUGGUCAUUAUUUCGCACCCUAAGAACAGUAAGGCUAAGGUCUAGGUAACACCAAAAAUUAUAAUCCAUAAGCCGUCAAAUUUCUCAUAUAAAGAUAGUAAAAUGGUUCCGUGGAAGUAUGGAUGCAAUGUGACAAUCUCAACGUUUUUAUUUUUGUUUUAUUUUUAUUUUACAUUAAUUUUACCUAUUCUUUAAUUAAAAAAUUUAUAAUGACUUAGAGUUUAUUUAAUAGAGUUUUUUUUUAUAAUCGGUCUUAUAAUAAAAUUUUAUAAGGUGGGACCAAGUCCCACAGUGACAACAUGAUCCCUCAAUUUUUGGUGGUGGGAUGCCUUUAGUCAAAGGAUCAACUAACAUCUGCUCAAUGCUAAUGUGCUCAAUGACCAAUUUCUUUUCAUUAACAUGUUCCCUUAUGCCUAGGUACUUAAAGUCGAUAUGUUUACUUCGACUUCCACUUCUUUCAUUCUUAGCCAUAAAGACAGCAGUUGAAUUGUCACAAUAUAUGAAAUAAUCAAAACCCAUAAUGACUCAGCCCAAAAAACUCGAGCUUCAAACCCAAAUUAAAUUAAAUCAAAACCAUAAUUUAUUAUGUACAAUUGCACAAAAUUAACAUAAUUUAAGUGUGUCAUACUGCACAUUAAAUUAAAGUUUACGUUUGACAUUAUAGAUAAUAUUCACGUGUAAAAUUUUGAGAUUUAUUCCUUUCAUUAAAGUAAUAUGUCAAAUAGAAUACUUGAACAAUCCUCCAUGUUGGCAAAGUUUAUGUACAGUAGUAGAAGUGAACUAAAUAAUUAGAAUAAAUCUAAAGUAUGUCUUACAUAUAAUUUAUUCACAAUGUGACUUAAACUUUGUCCUUCAAGAUUUCACGGUCUCAAUUUAUGUCUUAAAAUUUUAAGAUCAUUUUAGGUUUGUUAAAAAAUUAAAAUUUUAGAAAGUUAGAAUUGUUGCUUGAGGCGUGAAUAUUCUUAUUCUUUAGGAUAUUUGUGGAUUUACCAUCUCUUAGGAUUUCGUUUGUAUCAUGCACAAUGAAAAAAUUGAAAAAAAAAUUUCCCAUUUGAAUGGAAUUGAGCUAUUAGGCUCAAGCCUAGUGUGCGCAUAUAUAUUCUCUUAUUUUGAGUCUUACAAGUUUAUAGUAAACCAAAUCUAUAUAAACAUCAUUUAAUAGGUCAAUCUAAAAUAUGUUUAAUAUGUGUAAUUCUUUAAAAUAGAUGAAAACUUCAAAUAUGGUUUAGGUCAUUUUCAGAUUUGUCUUAUUUUAGGUUCAAAUCAUUCGAAUUUGAGGCUAAGUUUUCCAUGUCUAAUCAUUAUUGAUCCGAAUCAUUUUAGAUUUUGAUCAUUUUAAGUUCCAAUUAUUUUGUGAUCAAAUCAUUUCAAGUUUAGAUAAAUUUGGGUCAAUUCGAAUUUGACUUAAUUACGUAGUUAACUUUUUUUUAUAAUAAAUUGAGCUGAAUGAAAGUUAGAUUGAAAUUUAUUUAGUGUGCCUUUGUGUUUAAGUCGAAAUUUAAACAUCUUCCUUCAAAAUAAACAUGUUAAGACAAUUUUAUUUUAAAGACAAUAAUACAACAUAGUUGAUUUGGGAGAUAAACAUGUUAAUUUUUUAAUCCCAACCAAAAUUGUACAUAAUUCUUUUAUGUCAUAUUAAAUACAUGUAACGUCUUAUAAAAAUUGUCAAUAAAUUAUGCCUAGCGACAACGUUAUUCAACUCUAAUUUCAUUGUUAAUACCUAUUUCUAUUUUUCUUCUACUGUCUUCAACUUUAAAUAUAAAGGGAUUGAAAUUUUAAGAAUUGAGAUUUCUUUUCUCUGUAUUAGUGGACGUUUGAUUUUUUGUUUGAUUGUUUUCUUUACUGGAAUUGACACAUAUCUUUUCAGAUUUAUCAAUAUUUUUAAAAUUUAUUUAAGAUAUGUAUAUAAAUAUAUUACAAACGUAAUGGCCCAAUAUUGCCCGGCCCGAUAAUAAAAAAUGAUAAAAUAAAUAAAGGUCCAAUGUCCAGCUUUUACAAACCCAAAAUCAAUACGGCCCAAUUAGCCUAAACCCAAUUAGCUUUAACCCAACUUAGCCCAAGACUCUCCUUAAACCCUGAAAACCCUAGGCAACAGGAGCCUCCUUCCAGCGCCGCAACCAUCAGCUGGGCUUCUCCAUGCACACGCUGCCACGCACAUCUCCGUACGGCCACCUCCGUACCUCCAGGCUGGCCGAAUACCUGUAAAAAAAACGCACGGAAACAACAGCAAAUAGAAAAACAACAGCAUAGGGGUGAAUUUUUAAUUAUUUUUUCAUUUUAUUUUCUGUAAAUCGGGAUAUAAGAAAGCCAUUCGAAUACUAUAACGGGAUUUACGCAUUCAAUAUACAAAGAAAUUGAGAAUACAAAAGAAUCAAAAAAGCAGAGAAAGGUGAUUUUCUAGGUUUUUUAUUCCUUUCUAUCUUGUUGGUUACUUGAUUCUUUUCUUUACUUUUUUAAUUUGUACGUUCAUCAAUCGUUGUUUAAAAAAGAAAUAGGAAAAAGAAAGGGAGGGAAACGUACCUGGUAGCGCGACCCUGGCUCUCUCCGGCGUCAUCGGAGCAGGGGCUGGGAUCAAUGACUGCUCGAAUACUUUCAAUACCUAGAGCGGCGCUGAGUUUUUUUUCGUUUAGGUUUUUGUUUUAAUGUAAAGAUAGGUUUUUAGGGUUUAUUUAGUUUUAAGUGAAGGAAUUAAAACGUCGACGUUUAAAGUCGAUGCAAUGACUUUGAAACAGCGUCGUUUUAGAGACCAGAUCCGAACGGUGACUUGAUCCGGGAAGGAUCCAUGCAUUAUGGAUCAUUUGGUCUAUUUGUUCAAUAGAUCCCUCUAUGUUUAAUGGAAUUGCGAUUUGAUUUCUUUUAAUUGUUUGUAAUUUGUACUGCAUAUUUUGUUCUGUUUUCAUUUAGAUCCAGAUUGAAAUGGUAUCGUUUACUGCGUUUGACUUUGAUUAUUCGGAGCUUUUGGGUUUAAUUGUCGAGUCAGUCCUCCAAUUUUGAAAUAAAUUUUAAUUUAACAUGAGUUUAGCCUUUUAAAAAAGAAGAAGAAGAAAUCAAUAGCAUUUUUUAAUUAUAAUUAAUCCUAUUUUCGUACAUUAUAAAACCUAACAUUAUUUGUAAUAUUUGAUUUUUAUGUUUUUAAAUCUACAAUUAUUAUAACUUAAGAUAUAAUAGAUCAUUGUUUUAGUUUAUAUCCUAUACUUUAAAUUUAUUAUAUAAUAAUAUUUUGAAUCUACCAUAUUUAUUUAAUUUUGUCUUUUCCUUUUGGUUCCAUUUUAAGUCCCGAUUUUAAAUUUAUUAAUAUUUUCAUUAUAAUUGUUGUUAUUACUCUUCUAAAUUGUUUUACUAUAUUUAAUUUUCUCUUCAAAAAGUGUUUUUUAAAACAAAUUAAUUCUUAAUUUUAAUUCAUUUUCUAACAUUAUUUUGGUAUUUAGUAUGAUAUUAUUUUCAAAUUUAUUAUUAGUACAUUUUUUAAAAUAAUACAUUAUUUUUUUAAAUUAUUAUCAAUAUGUUUUAUUUUAUCAAUAUUAGUUUAAAAAUAUAUAUGAUUUAUAUGAAAUUAUUCUAGUAUAUAUGUAUAUAGAUUACAUCAUUAACUUUAGAUUAACCUCUUUUACAUAAUUUUUUUAAAAUGUUUUAUUCCUUAAACCUUAUUUAUUUUAUUUGUUUUAUAGGUUGUUAAAUUAUUAAUAUGGAUGUUUGUAUGACAUGAUUAAGAUCAAUGUUUAUAUUUUCCUAUUAUUUGUUUAAUUGCUUCUAGUUUAAGUUUAAGUUGUUAUUUAUCUUUUAUAUAUCGUUAUUUAAUCAUGUUUUAUUUGUAAGAAUUGAAUUUUAUUAAAGCAUCAUAAUUCCUAAAAAAGCUUGGUGUUUAAUAGUUCUCAAGAGAGUUGUGCCCUAACUUACUGGGCUUCAAUUCUUCUCGAUGAAUUUAUAUCAUCAAGUAUCCACUUUAUACAAUUUUAAAAUAAAAUUCUUUAGAUUUCAAAAUGUGGGAUCCUAGCUUACUGGAUACGACAUUUUGUUAUCUCGAUGUUAAAAUAAAUGCAAUAUUUGAUGUUUAAAAAUUUCAAGAAAUCGAACCCUAACUUACUAGAUUCUGAUUUCUCGAUUGACUUAAAUAGUCAAAUAUCCUUCUUAAAACAUGUUUAAAAUUUUCAAAAAAGGGACGAACUUAACUUCGAAGAUUGAACUGUUGCACUCUAACUCACUGAGUGUGGCGAUUUGUUUCUUUGAAAUGGGUCCGUCCACUUAACCAAUUCAAUUGUUUAAGUUUUCAUUUCAUGGGAUCGUAUUUAAAAAUCUUUUCAAGUUUCGACACUAAGACAUUAAAUAACCAAUUCGGUACCAAUUUUGGGCGUUACGAGGGUGCUAACCCUUCCUCGUGUGUAACCGACUUCCGAACUUAUCUUCUCAAAAUUCGCAGACCAAAAAACUUGUUUUCAAGGUGAUCCGAUCACACCUCAACAAAAAUCGGUGGCGACUCCAAUUUUCAUUUUUUAAAGUCGACUACUAAUAAAUUUUUGUUUUCAAAAAAUGAUUUCGACAACAAAUAUAAAAUAAAUGAAACUAAAUACAUUUCAAAUAUAAAAUAUUCAAUAAUAAACUUAACAAAUAAAAAUUUAUCAUUGAAAUAAAUCCAAAAUUAUUAAUAACAAUCCAUCAUUUAAUAUGAAAUUUUAAAGAUUUAGCUCAUUUACUUAAUAAGAGAAGCUGAAAGGUGAACGAAUAUAUAUUUCUUUUAGAAUCAGGUGAACGGUUUUUUCUUAACUAUAUUUUGAAUGUGAAAGUAUAUUCCAUUUUUUAAAAACUUUACAUUUCCAUGUAGCAUUUUUAGUUAGUUACGUUUCAAUUAAGUUUUUAGCAUAAUAGUAAAUAAUUAAAAGUUUAAUAUUUUUAAUAUUAUUCAUGCACAGGACGGUGCAUUAUGUUCUGGUAGGUGUGACAGGAAUUGAUCGGAAUGAGUUGGUGCAAUUGGUACAGACCGAAAUUUUGACCAGUGUAGAAAAAGCGUGUUGGGUGUUUUGCAAUGUUAUUAAAACCAAACUAAACAGACCAAGAACCGAUGAACCUGAGGACUAGAGUAAACUGUAGUUAAACUACAAAUCAUCAGUCGAUUAAGCCGUAUUUAAACAUUUUCUAAACUUGAAAAAUAAAAAAUUCACAUCAAAUCCCUUGAGCUUUUGUCACACUUCUUAUCUGCACUCAAUGAAAUAAAACACAACAAAAAAUAAGCACCAUUCCUUUUAUUACUUUUUCUACUAAAGUAAGUUUUUUUUUCUCGUAAAAAACCUAAGAUGGACUUAUAACAUUCAAUCAAAGGAAAAACAAAUUAGGAAAGUAGAAAGAUGGGGAGAGAGUUUUAAAAUUCAAAGCCUUUAAAAUUGAUAGAUGAGUUUGGGGUUAUUAAUAUUAUUUUAUAUUGUUGAAUAGAAAAUGAAUUGUAUUGGUGGUUGAAUGUGUGAGAUUAAGAAUUAAUGAUUUGAUUAAUUUGAUUAUCAAUCUAAUUUUAUAAAUAGUAAUAUUUCGAUAUAAAAUUGAAACAGUAGACACAAAUGAGCAUAACCGAAAUCUGUAACCACCUUAAUUUAAUACAUAAUUUGAGAUUCAUAUAAAAUAUUAUCUUUGAAAUAUAUUGAAAGAGGAAAGUAAUCGUACGUAAAUGCAUAACUUGGAAGAGAUAAUGAAGCAGGAAUCAUUAUAUUAACAGUGGUAUUUUCUCGAUGUACGGCUGCACAAUAUCUUGACCUGCAUUUCUCGUUUGAUUCUUUUCUUAAUUAGCUAAACUCAUGUUAACAAUGGUAUAACAGUAAUUAAUUACUUCAUGGACAGAACAUCAAUAUAUAAAUACCCCAUAUAUAAUAAGCAACAACGUAUCAAAAUACACCAAAUAAUGGGAACUGGAGAACGCCCAUUUAUACAAACAAAUAUAAGUAGGAAAAAUCAAUACUCAUAAUAAAGACACAAAGAGGACUAAAAACCUUAUUAAACUAGAUCCAGUAUGUAGCAUAACAGAAAAGGGGGCAUUUCAAGGAGUAGAACUAGAAGGUGGUGGAGAAAAGAAAGGAAUAGAGGGAACUGCAGCUGGGAUUGAGGGAAUGUUUGGAAGAGGCGGCAGUCCUCUUGGCAAUGUGGUAGGAAGUGGAGGAAGCGCCCCAGGGUUUGGGAGAUAAGGGAAAGAUGGCAAUGGUGGAAAAUAGAAAGGAAUAGGGGGAACAGCAGUUGGGAUUGUGGGGACUGAGGGAAUGCUUGGCAGAGGGGGUAGUCCUGUUGGCAAUGUGGUAGGAAGUGGAGGAAGCGCCCCAGGCCAUGGGAAUGAUUGUCGGGAUGGCGUUGGGAGAUUAGAGAAAGAUGGUAAACUUCGCGGUUGAGGCUGCUGCAGAAGGUGACGAGCUGCUACCCCAACAUCAAUGCUUGCAAAUGACAAAGCAAUCAAGAAUGCUAAAGCAAGGCAAUUGAAAGAGGCCAUUUUUGUUCAGAGAUUUCGAAACAAAUGAAGCAGAUGAAACAAAGUUCUUUAUCUGAAUAGUUGUGGGUGAAGAAAACAAAGCACGGUAUUGAGGUUUAUAUAGGCAUUGGAGCAAUGAAUAGAAAUCCCCUGCCCCUAAACAAUGCCCCAUGCAUGCCCCCAAACCAAAAUAGCGCCACAUGUUUUUUAUUUUUUUCCAUUUUAGUUGUAGUUCAUUUUUUAAAUAAAAAUUUAUAAUGAUUUGGAUGAAUUUUUAACUUAUUAUCAACGUUUUUGUUUUUGUUUUAUUUUCUAUUAAUUUUACCUAUUCUUUAAUUAACAAAUUUAUAAUGACUUGGAAUUAAUUUAACAGUGUUUUUUUUUAUAAUCGUUCUUAUAAUAAAAUUUAAAAAGGUGGGAACGAGUCCCACAAUGACAACAUGAUCCAUGCCUUUAGUCAAAGGUUCAGAUAACAUCUGCUCAGUGUUAAUGUGCUCAAUGACGACUUUCUUUUCUUUAACAUAUUCCCUUAUGGCUAGAUACUUAAAAUCGAUAUGUUUACUUCGACUUUCACUUUUGUCGCUCUUAGCCAUAAAUACAGCAAUUGAAUUGUCACAAUAUAUGAAAUAAUCGAAACCUAUAAUGACUCAGCUCAAAAAACUCGAGCCUCAAACCCAAAUUAAAUUAAAUCAAAAUCAUAAUUUAUUAUAUACAAUUGCAUAAAAUUAACAUAAUUUAAGUGUCAUAGUGCACAUUAAAUUAAAGUUUAUGUUUGACAUUAUAGAUUGAAGCAAUAUUCAUGUGUAAAAUUUUGAGAUUUAUUUCCUUAAUGAAAGUAAUAUUUCAAAUAGAAUACUUGAACAAUCCUCCAUGUUGGCAAACUUUAUGUACAUUAGAAACGAACUAAAUAAUUAGAAUAAAUCUAAAGUAUGGCUUACAUUUAAUUUAUUCAUAAUGUGACUUAAACUUUGGCCUUCAAGAUUUCACGGUCUCAAAUUAUGUCUUAAAAUUUUAAGAUCAUUUUAGGUUUGUUAAAAACAUCAAUAGUUUAGAAAGUUAGAAUUGUUGCUUGAGGCGUGGAUUUCCCUAUUCUUUAGGAUAUUCGUGGAUUUACUAUCCCUCAAGAUUUAAUUUGUAUCAUGUGCAAUGAAAAAAUUGAAAAAGAAAAUUCCCAUUUGAAUGGAAUUGAGCUAUUAGGCUCAGGCCUCGUGUGCGCAUAUAUAUUCUCUUAUUUUGAGUCUUACAAGUUUAUAGUAAACCAAAUCUAUAUAAACAUCAUUUUAUAAGUGUAUCUAAGAUAUGUUUAAUAUGUGUAAUUCUUUAAAAUACAUGAAAACUUCAAAUGUGGUUUAGGUCAUUUUCAGAUUUGUCUUAUUUAGGUUCAAAUCAUUCGAAUUUGAGGCUAAGUUUUUCAUGUGUAAUCAUUAUUGAUCCGAAUCAUUUUAGAUUUUGAUCAUUUUAAGUUCUAAUUAUUUUGUGAUCAAAUCAUUUCAAGUUUAGAUAAAUUUGGGUCAAUUUUGAAUUUGACUUAAUUACGUAAUUAACCUUUUUUAUAAUAAAUUGAGCUGAAUGAACUUUAGAUUGGAAUUUAUUUAGUGUACCUUUGUGUUUAAGUUGAAAUUUAAACAUCUGUAUUAGAAAUACACAUGUUAAUACAAUUUUAUGUUAAAGACAAUAAUACGACAAAAUUAAUUUGGGAGAUAAACAUGUUAAUUUUUUAAUCCCAACCAAAAUUGUACAUAAUUGUUUUAUAUCAUAUUAAAUACAUGUAACGUCUUAUAAAAAUUGUCAAUAAAUUAUGCCUAGCGACAACGUUAUUCAAAUCUAAUUUCAUUGUUAAUACCUAUUUCUAUUUUUCUUCUAAUAUCUUCAACUUUAAAUAUAAAGGAAUUGAAAUUUUAAGAAUUGAGAUUUCUUUUCUUUAUAUUAGUGGACAUUUGAUUUUUUGUUUGAUUUUUUUUACUAGAAUUGAUGCAUAUCUUUUCAGAUUUAUCAAUAUUUUUUAAAAUUAUUUAAGAUAUGUAUAUAAAUAUAUUACAAAUAUAAAAUGAAUGAAACUAAAUACAUUUCAAAUAUAAAAUAUUCAUUAAUAAACUUAACAAAUAAAAAUUUAUCAUUCAAAGAAAUCCAAAAUUAUUAAUAAUAAUCCAUCAUUUAAUAUGAAAUUCUAAAGAUUUAGCUCAUUUACUUAAUAAAAGAAGGUGAAAGGUGGACGAAUAUUUUUUAUUUGAUAAUCAGGUAAAUGGUUUUUUCUUAAUUAUAUUUUGAAUGUGAAAGUAUAUUCCAUUUUUUUUUAAAAUUUACAUUCCGAUGUAGCGUUUUUAAUUAGUCACGUUUCAAUUAAGUUUUUAGCAUAAUAGUAAAUUAUUAAAAGUUUAAUAUUUUUAAUAUUAUUCAUGCAUAGGACGGUGCACUAUGUUCUGGCAGGUGUGACAGGAAUUGAUCGGAAUGAGUUGGUGCAAUUGGUACAGACCAAAAUUUUUACCAGUGUAGAAAAAGGGUUUUGGGUGUUUCGCAAUGUUAUUGAAACCAAACCAAACAGACCAAAAACCGAUGAACCCGAGAACUAGAGUAAACUGCAGUUAAACUGCAAAUCAUCAGCUGAUUAAGCCGCAUUUCGCAUUUUCUAGACUGGAAAACAAAAAUUUCACUUCAGAUCCCUUGAGCUUUUGUUACACUUCUUCUCUUAACUCAAAAUAAAACAAACCAUACAAAGAAUAAGCACUGUUUCUUUUAUUACUUUUUUAUUACUCAGUGAAAAACCUGGACUUAUAACAUUCAAUCAAAGGAAAAAAAAGACAAAUUAGGAAAGAUGAAAGAUGGGGAGAGGGUUUUAAAAUUCAAAGCCGUCAAAAUAGAUGAGUUUGGGGUUAUUAAUAUUAUUUUAUAUUGUUCAAUAGAAAAUUAAUUGUAUCGGUGGUUGAAUCUGUGAGAUCAAAAAUUAAUUAAUUGAUUAAUUUAAUUAUCAAUCUAAUUUUAAAAAUAUUAAUAUUUCGGUAUAAAAUUAAUACAGUGCACACAAAUUAAUAUAACCGAAAUCUGUACGAAACCGAGCACCUUAAUUUAAUACAUAAUUUGACAUUCAUAUAAAAUAUUAUCUUGGAAAUAUAUUGAAAGAGGAAAGUAAUCGUAUGUAAAUGGAUAACUUGGAAGAGAUAAUGAAGCAGGAAUCAUUAUAUUAACAGUGGCAUCUUCUCGAUGUACGGCGGCUCACUAUUUUGACUGCAUUUAUCGUUUGAUUCUUUUCUUAAUUAGCCAAACUCAUGUUAACAAUGGUAUAACAGUAAUUAAUUACUUCAUGGAUAGAACAUCAAUAUAUAAAUACCCCAUAUAUAAUAAGCAACAACGUUUCAAAAUACACCAAAUAAUGGGAAUUGGAGAACGCCCAUUUAUACAAACAAAUAUAAGUGGGCAAAAUCAAUACUCAUAAUAAAGACACAAAGACGACUAAAAACCUUAUUAAACUAGAUCCAGUAUGCAGCAUAACAGAAAAGGGGGUAUUUCAAGGAGUAGAGCGAGAAGGUGGUGGAGAAAAGAAAGGAAUAGAAGGAACUGCAGUUGGGAUUGAGGGAAUGCUUGGCAGAGGCGACAGUCCUCUUGGCAAUGUGGUAGGAAGUGGAGGAAGCGCCCCAGGGUUUGGGAGAUAAGGGAAAGAUGGCAAUGGUGGAAAAGAGAAAGGAAUAGGGGGAAUUGCAGUUGGGAUUGUGGGGACUGAGGGAAUGCUUGGCAGAGGGGGCAGUCCUGUUGGGAAUGUGGUAGGAAGUGGAGGAAGCGCCCCAGGCCAUGGGAAUGAUUGUCGGGAUGGCGUUGGGAGAUUAGGGAAAGAUGGUAAACUUUGCGGUUGAGGCUGCUGCAGAAGGUGACGAGCUGCUACCCCAACAUCAAUGCUUGCAAAUGACAAAGCAAUCAAGAAUGCUAAAGCAAGGAAAUUGAAAGAGGCCAUUUUUGUUCAGAGAUUUCGAAACAAAUGAAGCAGAUGAAACAAAGUUCUUUAUCUGAAUAGUUGUGGGUGAAGAAAACAAAGCAUGGUAUUGAGGUUUAUAUAGGCAUUGGAGCAGUGAAUAGAAAUCCCCUGCCCCUAAACAAUGCUCCAUGCAUGCCCCCAAACCAAAAUAGCUCCACAUGUUUUUUAUUUUUUUCAUUUUAAUUUUUUAAAAUAAAAACUCUGUAAUGAUUUGAAUUAAUUUUUAACUUAUUAUCAACGUUUUUAUUUUUGUUUUAUUUUUAUUUUACAUUAAUUUUACCUAUUCUUUAAUUAACAAAUUUAUAAUGACUUAGAGUUAAUUUGAGAGAUUUUUUUUUUAUAAUUGGUCUUAUAAUAAAAUUUUACAAAGCAGAAACAAGUUCCACUGUGAAAACAUGAUCCUUAAAUUUUUGGAGAUAACCAUGUUAAUUUUUUAAUCCCAACCAAAAUUCUAAAUAAUUCUUUUAUGUCAUAUUAAAUACACGUAACGUCUUAUAAAAAUUGUCAAUAAAUUAUGCAUAGUGACAAGGUUAUUCAAAUCUAAUUUCAUUGUUAAUACCUAUUUCUAUUUUUCUUCUACUGUCUUCAACUUUAAAUAUAAAGGGAUUGAAAUUUUAAGAAUUGAGAUUUCUUUUCUCUGUAUUAGUGGACGUUUGAUUUUUUAUUUUAUUUUUUUAUUGGAAUUGAUACAUAUCUUUUCAGAUUUAUCAAUAUAUUUUAAAAUUUUAUAAGAUAUGUAUAUAAAUAUAUUAAAAAUAUAAAAUGAAUGAAACUAAAUACAUUUCACAUAUAAAAUAUUCAUUAAUCAACUUAAGAAAUAAAAAUUUAUCAUUCAAAUAAUCCAAAAUUAUUACUAAUAAUCUCAUUUAAUAUGAAAUUUUAAGGAUUUAGCUCAUUUACUUAAUAAAAGUAGUUGAAAGGUGAAUGAAUAUUUUUUUUAUAAUCGGGUGAAUGGUUUUUUUCUUAAUUAUAUUUUUAAUGUGAAAGUAUAUUCUAAUUUUUUUUAAAAACUUUACAUUCCGAUGUAGCAUUUUUAAUUAGUCACGUUUCAAUUAAGUUUUUAGCAUAAUAGAAAAUAAUUAAAAGUUUAAUAUUUUUAAUAUUAUUCAUGCGCAGGACGGUGCACUAUGUUCUGGCAGGUGUGACUGGAAUUGAUCGGAAUGAGUUGGUGCAAUUGGUACGGACCGAAAUUUUUACCAGUGUAGAAAAAGGGUGUUGGGUGUUUCACAAUAUUAUUGAAAGCAAACCAAAAAGACCAAGAACCGAUGAACCCGAGAACUAGAGUAAACUGCAGUUAAACUACAAAUCAUCUGUCGAUUAAGUCGUAUUUUCACAUUCUUUAAACCGGAAAAACAAAAAUUACACUUCAAAUCCCUUGAGCCAUUGUUAUACUUUUUCUCUGCACUCAAUGAAAUAAAACACAACAUAAAAAAAAUAAGCACCAUCUCUUUUAUUACUUUUACUACUAAAAUAACUUUUUUUUUCUUGUGAAAAACCUAAGAUGGACUUAUAACAUAUAAUAAAAAGGGAAAAAAAAGACAAAUUAGGAAAGAUGAAAGAUGGGGAGAGGGUUUUAAAAUUCAAAGCCGUCAAAAUAGAUGAGUUUGGGGUUAUUAGUAUUAUUUUAUAUUGUUCAAUAGAAAAUUAAUUGUAUCGGUGGUUGAACCUGUGAGAUCAAAAAUUAAUUAAUUGAUUAAUUUAAUUAUCGAUCUAAUUUUAAAAAUAUUAAUAUUUCGGUAUAAAAUUAAUACAGUGCACACAAAUUAAUAUAACCGAAAUCUGUACGAAACCGAGCACCUUAAUUUAAUACAUAAUUUGACAUUCAUAUAAAAUAUUAUCUUGGAAAUAUAUUGAAAGAGGAAAGUAAUCGUAUGUAAAUGGAUAACUUGGAAGAUAUAAUGAAGCAGGAAUCAUUAUAUUAACAGUGGCAUCUUCUCGAUGUACGACUGCUCACUAUUUUGACUGCAUUUAUCGUUUGAUUCUUUUCUUAAUUAGCCAAACUCAUGUUAACAAUGGUAUAACAGUAAUUAAUUACUUCAUGGACAGAACAUCAAUAUAUAAAUACCCCAUAUAUAAUAAGCAACAACGUAUCAAAAUACACCAAAUAAUGGGAAUUGGAGAACGCCCAUUUAUACAAACAAAUAUAAGUGGGCAAAAUCAAUACUCAUAAUAAAGACACAAAGACGAUUAAAAGCCUUAUUAAACUAGAUCCAGUAUGCAGCAUAACAGAAAAUGGGGUAUUUCAAGGAGUAGAGCGAGAAGGUGGUGGAGAAAAGAAAGGAAUAGAGGGAACUGCAGUUGGGAUUGAGGGAAUGCUUGGCAGAGGCGGCAGUCCUCUUGGCAAUGUGGUAGGAAGUGGAGGAAGCGCCCCAGGGUUUGGGAGAUAAGGGAAAGAUGGCAAUGGUGGAAAAGAGAAAGGAAUAGGGGGAACUGCAGUUGGGAUUGUGGGGACUGAGGGAAUGCUUGGCAGGGGGGGUAGUCCUGUUGGCAAUGUGGUAGGAAGUGGAGGAAGCGCCCCAGGCCAUGGGAAUGAUUGUCGGGAUGGAGUUGGGAGAUUAGGGAAAGAUGGUAAACUUUGCGGUUGAGGCUGCUGCAGAAGGUGACGAGCUGCUACCCCAACAUCAAUGCUUGCAAAUGACAAAGCAAUCAAGAAUGCUAAAGCAAGGCAAUUGAAAGAGGCCAUUUUUGUUGAGAGAUUUCGAAACAAAUGAAGCAGAUGAAACAAAGUUCUUUAUCUAAAUAGUUG